GUGGCGACACCUGUGAGUGGAGUACCGAGCCCAGAUGGGAUAGUGGGCCCAGAACCAUUUCUUUUCAAGUUUGAUCGAUUGGGUGUUAGGGUUCCCACCAUCGUGGUCUCGCCUUGGAUAGAGAAGGCCACUGGUAAGUGCUAUUUCCCUUUCAUUCCAACUCUUUCUUUUUUGGCCUUAUCUCUUCUACAAUUUCGUUCAUGGGAAUAUAUUAUCGGUUUUUUUAAAAGAAAUCAAAUUAGGAUUUUAUUAAGAGAAAACUGUAUAUAAAUAUGAUAUAGAUAAGUUACGUAUAUAAAUAAUUAAAAAAAAUUUGAUUUAAAGUUUUUGAUUAAGUUGACAGAGCAAAAUAUUUAUGUCAUAAGCAAUCACUUACUCUAAUGAAUGGCUAUUCAUGACCAUCGUUCAAUUCCAUGGUCUUUCUACGAGUGCGAUCUGAUUACCUUAAAAUUUUUUCCUUCUAUUAGAGAAGAGACCUACAGUUCUUUCUGUAUAACUAUUCAAAUAAUAAAAAGUCCUAGAUAAAAUCACCAUGGUGACAAUGGUAACUUAGAACUAAAUCUCGAGCAACAGUAAAUAUCAAUAUUUGGACGAGAAUAACAAAGAUUUAUAUACAAAUAUAAGAAUUAUUUAAAAAAAAUAAAUAGAAAAGGGAAAGGGACUACCAAUGAGAGAUCACCGGUUACUGUAGAAGAAGAAAAUAGAGCUUUUAGAUUUUGAGAGAUAUUUUUUUUUUAUAUAUAUAUAUUGUCCGGUUUUGACCUUUAGGACGUAAUUUUUUUUUUUUUUUUAAACUCAUACUUGGAGUAUUCUCUCAUAAACUACUAUAACAAUAAUUAAGCCCUCUUAAUUGUAAACCAGCUGGAGUGAAUUUUAUACAUUCUUUAUUUUUGUUCCUUCAUAAUUAAGUUUAUACUAAUGACAAUUUGUCUCUAUGUGGUACCGGAUGGACAUCUUCCUUUUUGAAUUUUUUUUUAUUUUUUUUUUUGUGUAAAUCAUCAUUAGCAGGGACCGACUAAUUUAGCUAGGGGCUUAGUUACAGUUAAUAUUCUUCACCUCUCCUUACAUGUGUGUUUAGUGGAUAUCGAACUUGAAAGCUCUUCUUAUAUAUCUAACCUGUGUUGCCAAUUGAGCCACAACACAUAGAAUUCCUUUUGAAUCUUUUGUUUCUAUUCGGCUACGUUCAUAACUAAGACUGAACUAAUGUCAAGAAGUAGAAGAUAUUUUGGUACAACAUGUCUCUCCAUAUGAUACAAGAUCCACUUCUUCUUAUUUUAACAUCAUCCACCAUUAAUGAAUUGAAUCCACAGACCGUGACAUGUUAGGACUCUGAAUAUUUUAGUUUAGUUUAGUCAUCAACUUACUAUAACCCUUCUUCUUUACUCGAUUUGGGGGAUAUGUUCUAUCGGGCUCACACAGGCAGAGUUAUUCUCCAAUAAACUAAUAGGGCUAAUUUUUUUAAAAUAAAAAAAAAUUAUAACAAAAAUAUUUAUUUUUUAAUUUGAUCCAUAAAUAAUUUCAAUCUCACUGAAUUGUAAUUCAUUAUUAAACAUAACAUUAGAUACUAGUAUUACUUGAAAGUAGAAGCUUUAAUCAACAGGAACACUUUGGGGAAGAGGGAGAGAAAGGGGAUUUGAACUUAGAUCUACUGUUAAGGUUGAAUAUGCACUUACCAUCAUAAUGUAAUACAAAAAUGUAAUAAAAUAAGAAUAAUUGGUACGGACUUUAAUAGAAGGAUGAGUUAUACAGAAUUAAAAUAUAUGGACUCUUAAAUUAAUUUUUAAAAUGUAAGUCUUAAUUAAUUGAGUAACUAAAUAAUAAAUUAUCCUGCUCAUUUUUUUAAAAAAUUAUUAAAUGAGGUGUGAGUAUGGAUUGUCCUAUUUAUAGAAGUGGAUCCCAUUACAUAGGUUAUAUAAUUGAACCCCUAUGUAAUGUGAACAUACCCAUAUAUUCUCAUUUAAAAAAAAAAAAAAAAAAUAAUAGGCCCAUCUCAUGUGCCUCAAAAUGGCUACAACACAUGUAAUUAGAGUUAUAUUAAAAAUUAAAUCAGAUGUAAUUUGAUUGAUUUUUUCACUUCUUAUAAAUAUAAGGAGUAAAUUAACACUAUUAAAUUGAAGUACUCUCUGUUAUAUAAACUUUGGUUGUGUUCGACAAUAAUUUUUUUAGUAAAUUCUAUUUUUUAUAAUAUUCGGUAACAUGACGUUUGAACUAGCUUUCAGAGGUUGAGAUAUUAUUUUAUAAAAUGUUAGCUCAUAUAACAUUUAGCUUGUAACGUUUUAUGAUAAGCUACUAAAACAGCUAAUAAUGCCAUUGAAAUAGUCAAUAAUUAUUAAAAUAACUAAUUUUACUGAACAGACUCUUCCAUUAAUUUAUAAGUAAUUUAAUGAGUAUUUUUUUCAAAGAGAAAAAUUAUUUGUGUUAUAUAUACUUUUUACAUAUAGUUUAGAAGAUAACCUCUAAGAUAAGUUAUUAGUUUAUCUGAAAAGAAUAAUACUAGUAAGAAUAAAACAAAAGAAGUUAAUUUAUGUAUGGGGUUAUAAUCCUUUACACAUUGCUUUUUUGAAAAGAAGAGAAUGUGAAACCUUUUAAAUUAUUAUGUUAUCUUAUUGAAAUUGUCAAAUGUGUGAUGUGAAAUGUUCUUCUGUAGGAAGUAGGCUCAACCAAUAAAUACCAGCCAAAAAGUGGCAAUUUUUUGGUCUCUUUUGUCCUUUUUCCCAACCAACUAUGCAUUGCUUAUUGUGAGGAAAUAAAUGGGUUGGUUAGGACAAUAGGCUUUUUCUUUUAGAACAUAAACUUUGAAAAUUGGAAAUAAAGGGGUAAGUGACUUUGAAUAUUGCCAAAAGCUAACAUGGUUGGCACUCAAAAGUAAAAAUAAGGGAGAGAGAUUCUCCUAUCUCAUGUUGAUAAAGCACCGCAAAGGUACCAAAAAGGAUAAAUCAAGAGAAAAAGAAAAUGAGUUUUGUUUUUCAUUUUCCUACGAUACCCUUAUUUAAUAAUCUUGUAAAUAAUUAAUACUCCCUCCGUUCUUUUUUUAUAUAGAAAGUUUUUAUUUUUUUGUGUUCUUUUUAUAUAUGAAAUUUUACCUAAUUUAGUAACUUUGGAAAUCAUGUCAAUUUGAAAAGUUUAUCUUACCUAGUUUUAGACCUUUGUGAAGCUUUUAAUAUGAGAGAUUCUCAAGAUAGUGGCAGACAAAUAAAUAGAUGAACAUUUAAUAUGAAUAAAUUUUGGAGAAUUAAUUUCUUACAUUAAUUUUCGUUAAAAAAAACUCAUAUAAGUGAUUUGAUUGUUGGUUAAAAUGGAGAUUAAAUAGAAAAUGGCUAUAAAAUUUUUAGAUGGAUCAUAAUGAAAGGAAUCCUUAUGGAUUUCGCUCGAAUAUUUGAAAAAUUGCAUGUUAUUUAAACUAUGUUUUCAAUAGUCAAAAGCAGUUGGAAAAUUAAAUGAGUACAAAUUAAAAAAUUUCACACAACUUUCCUAAAUAAAUGACUAAAAAAAAUAAAAUUUUUUCCACAAGUCAGAACAUACACUUUAUUUUUUGCAACUAUCUUUAUUUUUAUCUCCAACAAAGCAUUUAAAGCAUCAUUGAAGAUCAAAACAUAAUUUAAGGCAUGUAUUGAUAUUAGAGAAGGAAUAAAUGAGAUAUUCGGGAUGAAUUAAGAAAAAAAAGGGCAAAAAAAGUUUGUUAAACUACUUUCUUAAUUUUGGUGAAAAAUUAGUUGUUCCUAUAUAAAAAGAACGGAGGGAGUAUUAUUUAAAUUUGCUAGAUAGUGGGGAAAAACGUUUUACUAUAAUUAAUUUUGAAAUUUUAAAAUGUUGGUCUUCAUGAGAAGUUUUCAUAAUCAAUUCCAAAAAUUAAAUCAUCAAUAAAUUAUUAAUAUACAAUUUUUAGGGUCUAUAUAUAUAUAUAUAUAUAGAAAUAAAGAAAAGUUAUAGUUAAAUUAAUUUAAGUAAUUAUUCUUAAAUUGUGUGGAAAAAAAAAAAGAACUUAGACUAUAAUUUUUGAUUGACUAUAUAAGUUCAUCCUUGAGCUUCGUUAUUUCAACUCCUCGAUUUUUAUUUUGACAUAUUAAAUAUUUCAACUUGAAAAAUUAGAUCAAUUAAAUACUUAUUGCAUAGUUAAAAAAUAUGAAAAUUAUUAUUCCAAAAGUUACGUUAACUACACAUCAAAUCAAUAUUUUGCAUAUAAAUAUCUUAAAAAUUAUUGCUAUUAUUAUGUAAAGGUGCAAUGUUAUCAAAAUUUGCAAGUUCAAAUGCAUAAUAGGUUAUUCACAAAGUUCAGGAUAUCACAAAGUUAAAAUUAUAAAGUUAAGGGGUGAAUUUAUGUAUUUGGCAUAAUUUUGUAAAGGAAGUAUGUAUGUAUUAUAGAUUACAAUUAAUUAAUUAGGGUGGAAAAUACUUUGAACUUUACAUGUCAAUGAAAUUGCACUCCAUUUUUCCUUUAAUUUCAAUUAUAAAGUGUAAUUAAUUUCAUUUUCAGUCAAAAAUAGGGUGCAAUACAAACUUAGUGUAUUGUUGCUUAUUAAUUCUAUACAUGUAUCAUUUUCAAAAUCAAAUUCAUCUUAACACCAUUAUUUGUUAUACAUGUAUAUAAAAGUAAAGUUUAUUAAAAUAAACAAUGUUAUAAAUAAUAAUUACCUCUGUUUAAUUAGAUUUGACAUUUUUUUCUAUUUACACGACAUUUUUAAAAAAAAAUCAAAUAAUAUCUAUCUGUUUAUAUAAAUAUAUAAUUUCUAAGGUAUAAAUGCUUUUGUGGUAACAUAUUAGAAUAUAGAAGUGAUGAUAUGAUAGAAGUGAUGAUAUGACAUUUUAUUUUUCUAUUAUAAUUAAUAUUUUUUAAUUUUUAAUAAAAAUUAAUUUUGAUUAAAUAAUGGAGUUAUAAACUAAUAAAUGUAAUGAUGGAGGAUUUCAUUAUAAUUAAUAUAUAUUUCUAUUUAAUAAAUAUUAAGUUUUUUAUUAAAUAGUUUUUAUUCAAAUUAAAGCAACACAAAUAUAAACUACAAUAAUUUUUUUGAAAAUUACGUUCAAUUUAAUUAAAAGACAGAAAAAUAUAUAAUCCAUGCGUUGCGUAGGUACAUGACUAGUUAAUUAUUAUGCGUGAGAUGUUAAAAUGUGUUGGCAUGUCAGGUUCGACACAAAUUCGCCUAACACACGAUACAAUUAGAGUCAGCACGAACACGACCCAUUUAAUAGUUGUGUUGUAUAUUUAAACACGAUCAUGAUACAAAAUUAAAUGAGUGACAUGAUUAUGACACGAAAAUUAAACAAGUGACACAAACACGACACGUGUAACCCGUUUAAUUAAAUGAGUGAUAUAUGAGUAAAAAAUUUAACCAAAUUUAAUUGAAUGGAUUGUAUACGAGUCAGAACACGACAUGCGUAACACGUUAACCCCCAUAACUCACUUAAUAUACAUAUUUUAUAUGAAAUUAUAUUUUUAUGUUUAAAUAAACGGGAUCUAUUUAAACUCGUGUGAUAUACGGGUGAUUUGUUUCCCACAUGAAUCUAUUUAAACUCAAUCCUAACUCGUUUAAUUUCUAUAUUAGGCGAAUUGUGUUCCCGUGUCAAUAAUCCAUUUUGAUACCCUAAAUACAAUCAGGGUAUACUUCCUUAGAAGUAACUUUUUUAUAAUUAUAUUUCUCUGGAAGUGAACUUCCCAGGAAAUUGUUAAUUCGAACCAAAUGUGGCUGAACUUAGAGUAAAAUGAACCUACAUUGGCAGUUUAGAGUCUUUAGAGUAGGGGAUCAAACUGAUAAAAUUCGUAGAACUCUAAAAAUUGUAGGUCUUAUUAUUAAUUAAACAUUAAAAGUACUAUAGUAAAUCUUUUUUUCCUUUUUUGAAUUUUGGAUAAUUGAUAGAACUGAUUUGCCUAAUUACUACCUCUUUUUCAUAAUACUUAUCACAUUUGAAAAAUUAGUUCAUUUUAAAAUACUUGUUACAUUUGUGGUUUCAAGGAGUAACAAAAUUUUUUUUCCGUGUUUACCCUUUGUACAUGACCAACAAUUAUUACUUCAAUUUAAUGAUUUUUUAGAGAAUUAAUAUUAAAUUAAAGGUAACAUGGUCAAUUUACUCAAUAAUUUAUUGUAACUUAGAUAAAUUUACAAUUUUUUUUAGGGGACGUCAAAGAAAUUUCAAUUAGAGAUAUAUUUAUACUAUAUAUAAAUGUGGGAAUGGGGGAAAUAAUGAGAUUUUUGAUAUCGUCCUUAAUAAAAUUUGGAAUAUCCUAAAAUAGCCUUAGUUGUAGUCAAUUCGAAAAUUAUAUUUUAUACCAACGAGUGUCUGGAUGAGUAGUUUAACACUCUUCUCUCUAAACUGAAGUCAAGAAUUCGAUCCUCAUGGUUUAAACAAAUACUUACUUAGAGCACUUUACUCUUUCGUGGGUUGAUCUAGUACGAGCAGGACUUAGAUCUAGUCCAAUUGGCUCGGGAUACAUGUGGUUAAGAAAAAAGAAAAAUUCUAUUUUAUUAUUUGAUUAGAUAUAAUUUUUAAAAGUUAUUUUUUGAAUAAAAUAUACAUAGAUAAUAAUAAUAAGAAAGUAUACUCUUUUUUUUCAAGAAUUUUUGUGUAUGUUCAUAUAUUCAUUUCUCUAAUGCACUGGGUAAGUAAUACUAUUACUAUAGCCAAAAUGACUACUAUUAUUAUUUCAAAUUAUCUUCUCAUUUCUUUUCUUUUACCUACAAGUAAAAAAUAAUUCAUUAUUACUUUCAUUAUAGACGGUAUAUAAAUAUUGAUUUGAAAUUGAGUGCAAAGGGUUGAGGAUUGAGUGAUGACUUGAUUUUAUUUUUGGGCAUCUAUCAGAGUUUUAAGAAUAUGCAUUUAUAAAUUAAAGAUUGAAUGAUUAGGUAUAGGAAUUGGAUUGAACUUUAUUUUGAUAUCACUUCAUUAUGUAAAAUUAGAAUCAAGUAAAUAAGAAAUAGUAUUAUAAAUAGCUUAUAUAUCAAAGUUUAAUACAAAUUAACCAAUUGUAUUUAUUUUAAUCUAAAUAAAAACUUAUGCUUUAAUAUUAUAUAAAUAAAAAAAUUAAAAAAAUAUAAAAAAUAGAAUAUAACGAGUAUUGUCAAGACGCAAUAUAAUGUGGUAGAAAAGACUAGUAUAUAUUAAUAAUGGUAAUUAUGCAGUUGUUCACGGCUCAAAUGGAUCACCAUUUCCGACAUCGGAAUAUGAGCAUUCAUCGAUUCCGGCGACAGUGAAGAAGCUCUUCAACCUGUCCUCUCCUUUCCUGACUAAAAGGGACGAAUGGGCUGCCACCUUCGAAUCCAUUAUUCAGAAACGGACUGAGCCCAGAACUGAUUGCCCUGGUUAGUUCAAAAUCUGAAUAUUACGUCUUUCUCCAAAUAGUAAAAACAUUUAUUUUCCAGAAAACGAUUUUCUUCUAAAACAACGUAAGAUUUUCAUCUAGUUCUAGAAUAUUAUCAAGAUUUUCAUUUUGUGUUGAUAAAUUUUCCCAUCUUGAUAGUGCAACUACCAACUCCAUCGAAGAUCAGAAAAGGGGACGCCAAUGAAAAUGCAAAGCUUAGUGAAUUCCAGCAAGAGCUAAUGCAGCUAGCAGCAGUGCUAAAAGGAGAUCACAUAUUGACAAGUUACCCUCAGAAUAUAGGGAAACAAAUGACAGUGAAGGAAGGAAAUGCAUAUAUGGAGGACGCUGUGAAACGUUUCUUUGAGGCUGGACUUUAUGCGAAAAAAAUGGGAGUCGAUGAACAACAAAUUGUUAAAAUGAGGCCAUCUCUUACUACCAGAUCAUCUAAACCAACCAUCAAUAACCCAUAGAAAAAUUUUAUGUUAGUAUACAUCAGUCAUCAUAUGUAAGCACAGAAAAUAGAAAGUAAAAGAGAAGAAACAAAUAAUGUCAUCUCCAUAUUUACUGGUAAUGGCAGUGCUUUAAUACUGAAUCAAUCUUAACAAGGAGAACGCCACAAGUAAAUGAUCAAAUUCAGAUUAAGAGUUUAUUCUCAAAUUUUCUAAUUGAGACGACUAGGGGUGUGCAAAACCACCUUUGGAAUCGAACUAAACACCGAACCAAUCCAAUUCAGUUUGAUUCAAUCAGUUAGUGAAGGGAAGUUCGGUUUUUGAUUUGAACCAAAUAUGUUGUUUGCUUCGAGUCGGUUUUAUAGAAAUUUAUUGAUUGGAUUUAAAACCGAAUUAAUACGGCAAAAAUCAACCAUAACUGAUCGAACCGAUCGAUUCGAUAUGUUUACUUCAGAUACUAAUUCUGAUUUGAUUCGGUUUGUUGUCCAAAAAUUUCAGUUUAUAUAUAUAUAUAUAUUUUGCCUUAGUUCGGUUUAAACUGAACCAACCAUUUGCUCACCCCUAGCUCCCCUAACUCGACUAGACUCAAUUGCACCUCUGAGAAACCUCUAUUCUAAGUCAACGUGAGAUGUCCAUUUCAACCCGAUUCAUUUACAAAUGGAGCAAGUAUACAGACUUAUCAAUCCAACUUGGGAAAAUAUGAAUCUAACCCGAUUAAUUUUCCUUUUUAUAUAAAAAUAGGCUCUUUUUAGUGAUUUUAUGAAUAUUAACCCAACAUGACCCAAUUCCAUUUAAUCCCAUGUGGAUGCCUGAUGGAUAUUAUUUUUUUAUUACUGGAUCGGAUAUUGUAAAAUUUGAUCCAAAUCAGAUCUAUGAGCAUCUCUAGUCAACCGGCGAGAAAUUUACUAGUAAAAAUUCCUCAUAAUCCACAUAAUGAACUGCAAAAUGCUGAUAGUACUACAAACCUUGACAGCAGAGAAUUUUCCAUUUACAGGUCUAAAACAUUGGAAGAUACAAGAUUCAACACUAAUUUCAAACGUAGCAAAUGUGUACAAAAAGAAUUCAGAGGUCUCCAUGAUUAAAAAAUGUCAAAAUCCCUCCUAUAAUCUUUCAACAACUUUCCUAUUUUUCUAUCUAUACCACUCUUCUUUUACUGUGUAAAUGGUAUCAAUGAAUCUUCUUCACAAGGAUGCGUCAUACUGAACAAAGGAUCAACGAAUUUAUAAUCCAAAAUUCAAUUUCAACCGCUGUUUAUUGGAUCCCAACCUGGAAUAUUAGCAGUAGCUUCAUUUACCAUCUUUACAAGUCUCACCUGCACAUAAAUUCAUUCAAAGAGGGAGAGAAAGCCCAUAUGUUAUCUUCAAAUUAUGAUUUUAGUUUCAAGAAAGUGGGAAAAUAUAGUAUUAUUAAAGAAUCAUAGUUCAGACAAGAACAUAUUGCUCAAGUGUCACUUUAUCAGCAGGCAACACACUAGUUACUAUAAAUGGCAACUAAAUCACAGAAUCCUCAUCUUUGGCACAGCAAACCAAAUCUGGGUGAAAUUUGACAUUAUUUAGCACACCAAACUAAAUGUAUAAUGAGUUUAUUUAGUUUACAUACACUGGCUGACUAAUGAGAAAUGACACUGCAUAUGCAAGAUAACAUUCCAAAAUGGUUUCUGAUGAUGUUGUGGAAUAAAAAAAGGAGGAAAAGAACGGAAAAAAAAAAAAACAAAAGAAACUGCUGCAUUUAUUGGACAUCAAUUAAUUCCCACAAGUAAUUUUGCAACUGAAUUUGAACGAGACAAACCUAGUGUUUUGCUUUAUAUUCACGAAGAACUGUGGAAAGGUUAAACAUGUACGAAAAAGGAUUGAAUGAUUAGGAUAAUGGUCAGUGUGGUUUGGUUCUCGGUUAGAAACUGAGAAUUGCUCACCACUAGGGCUGGGAGUAUUCCUGGUUCAAGUUAUACUUACUAAGUUCACCCAUUAAAUAUAAUUUAGUUUCAAAUGUCUCCAAAUUUUGAUUUCGCAAAAGGUCCUUAAAGAAAGAAAUAUACUAAAUAGACAUACCACACUUUCAGGAACUCCUGGUGGGGGUAAGGACAGGUUCUUUGGCGGAGGACCACUUAGAUAGGAUCUCUUAUCGAAUCGCCAUUCUCCAAUUGUUCCAUAUGUUAGUUUUCCCUGGGUGACAACCGAAUUGCAAUAAACAGAAUGAAAGGUUGGCUAAGUUUAACAGUAAUUAAUCUUGUCAAAAUUUUCAAACAAAAGCAAUCAAGCAAAAAAAAAAAAAAUUUACCUUGAGAUCAUAGUCACAUCCAUAAGUAUAGUGAAUGAUAAACCUCUUUCCAACUUCCAGAUCCCAUGGUGGCUGAAAAAUACACAACAUUAUGUAAUAAUUCAAUGUAAAUAGCAAAAUUAAACAAGAAUUGAGUAUCAUGGAUACCUGUAUCAUGAAGUCCUUCCGAAGUAUAUGCCGAACACCAUGCAAUGCUGAUGCUACAGCGUAUGCAUACCUUAGUACAACAAAGACAUAUCAGAAAUGGGGAAGCAUAUUUCAGCCAUUCAAGAUCAACAUUUCUCAAUAAAAAAGAAGUGAUCUAAAAUAUUACUCACAUUUCUAGCACCCAACCAAAUGCCUUAUCAGUCUCUGGAUCAUCUUUCAUUCUCAAUGAGAUAUUCACCCAUGUUGGUGAAAUUUCCUCCAGUAGGGACUGGAAUAGAUAGUUUAGUUCACAUGUUAAUAAAUCAAUAUUGUCCCUGGUGAAAUCAAACAUUUCAACAGGAAAAACAAGAGUGACACAUCAAUGAGGAGAAGGAAGCAAUUCUUUAUAAACAAUCAUCUCCACCUCCUUGAUUCCGCCUUUGAAAUUUUCUCUCUUUCUUUACUUUUAUUUUUCCAAUUCUUUUUGAGCUUCUGAUGAAUGAAAAUUGAAUGGACUAUAAUGUAAUAGCAACAAAAGUUCUACCUUUUUUAUAAUCACAGGAGAGUUGCCAAUUGGAUCAACAUUUGUCACAGGGCCCUGUUGUUCCGGAUAAAAUUUUCUAAUAAUUUUUUCAUGUUCAGUUGGCUUAAUGUAGAAAAAUGGAUACCCAGCUGGAUGUUCUCCAUGUGCCAAGUUAGGCAAAGGAUUUACAAAUAUGUGGUCAGGCUCAGCCAUCAAAACAUACCUGCAUAAGUUAUAAAUGAUUUAACAUUCAAAUGUCAUAAACAAGUAGUAAGAAAAACAUAAAACACACAAAAGAUAAUGACCAUAAUAAUAAAAAUAAUAAUAAUACUAAAACUCCGUUUGUUUCCAAAAAAUAACUUACUUUUAGAAAAUAUUUCCAACAAAAAUGUUUUCUUAUAAAAUACUUCUCAAACAACUCAUUUUUGUUGUUUGGUUGCAAUAUUAAUACUUCUCAAACAACUCAUUUUUGUUGUUCGGUUGCAAUAUUGAAAAUUAGUCCAAAAAUAUUAACAAAAUAUUAAUUUAUUGACCAAAAAUAUUUAGCAUUAUAGUUUUCAUAUUUUAAAAUUUAUUGUUAAAUAUGAAAAAAAAAAAUGAUAAAAUGACAAAUGGCCAAUGACUUGGUGGUGGUUGGUAACUAAUGUUGAUUUGCAAUGAUUGAUAAUGGUGACCACUAGUGAUCAAUAGAUUAAUAAAUGUGUGUUUAUAAGAUUAUAGUAAGUUUAUCAAUAUUUGAAAAAUGUUUUCUUCUUUCAAAAAGAAAAAUUCAUUUUCCUUUAAAAUGACUUGGUUUUCCUUUUGACCAAGAAAAUAUUUUCCGUUGACUAUUUUCAUAAAUAUCCUAAAUAUAAAAAAAUCCAACAAAACUUUUCCAAGUAAAUUAUUUUAUGGAAACAAACGGAGCAUAAAGGUAGUGAGUUUAGAAUCUCACUCUUCAUCAAUUGUUGCUUUUUCCAGCCAUUGCACAAAAGCCCAUGGUCUGUUUAAGACAAUAUAACCCUGGAUACAACAUGAACUACUGCAUCAGAAUGAUUAACAAACUAUCUAAUAGCAAUAAACUUAGGAGCAGUGACUGCUUUCUGCAAAAAGAUAGAGAAACAGAAGGGUAGCAAAAAGGAUGUGGCAGAAUUUAAGCUGUCUAAUAUCCUUUGGUCAACUUCAACGUAGAAAAAAUGAUAUGUGUAUGCUUCUCAACUUUUGGUGGUUCUGUAAGUAAAGCUAGAUGCAUCAAAACAUAUAUAUGUUUAAUUUAAACAGUGAUUCCUUCUUAAUUCAAUUACUUUUUCAUACUCAUGUUAUUGCACCUUUUGAGCAGAUGAGCUUCUCAUCAUUUUUUAAAUAGCGUAACUUAAAUCAUGUGAAUCUUUGGUAUACAAUAAUAUUGCAAAACAAAUAAUAUCGCUCCAAAAAAUAAAAGUACUUAUGGCAGAAAAAUUUAUAAUGUAAAUCAUAAAGUAAAAAAAGUAGUCCUGCAACAUAAAGAGGAAAUCUUAAGGAAAAAUGCAAAAUAUAACUCUCAAUAUCUUAAACUCCAGUGAUAUUACUGCUAAGGCUAGCCAUAAUCUAGUGCUUUGUAGACCCUCCAAUAUUAACUUCUUGGAAUCUUUGACAAAAUUUUCAAUGGGAACAAAAUGCAAAUGUUGGAAGUACUUUGAUAUUGAGUUCCAACUUCCCUUAAUGGACAUUAGCGAUCUAAGGUGUACAGUGAGAAACUUGGAAUUGCAAGAAAUAAAAGGAAGAUGCGGGAUUAACAUAUCGAUUUGCUUUAAGCCAGCAAUCUAUUAUCGUUCAUUCAAAUAUGACUUUUUUGCUGCUGUUGGGACUAGCCAUUAUAGUUCAUUCAAUUCAUACAAUCAAUUCGUAGCCAUAUGACAGUUAAAAUCAUAUUAAUGGAUAAAUGAGCUUAUGAGCAAAAUAAAAAUCACAGAAGUGAGAAUGAUACACAUAAAUUCUAACUCGCAUUAUUUUGUUAUCAAUAUAUGGCAUUUAAAUGUAAAUAUGAGAAACUGAGAAACUGAAAAACUGAUCAUAAGAAGACUAACCCGAUCUAGCCCCUCUGGAAGAGGAUCAACAACAAAGGUUGGAAUCUCAUCCAUCAAUUGGUCAGCUUUUCCAGAAUGGAGAAUUCGAGUGAACUUUCCCAUGUCUGAUCCAGGCUCAUCUUUCAUCUUCUUAUACCAAUAGAACAUAAUCCGGCAUUGCCACUGGCUAUAAGGAGCAUCAGUAGCUGUAAGGGCAACAUGGUAUCUUGAAUUUGAAUUCCCUAAUCUCUUCACUUCUUCAGGCAUCCUUGUAAUGGGAUCAGAUAACUCCAAUUCAUCUCCUGAAUUUGAGCUAUUAUGCAUUACGAAUAUUAACAAGUUAUAUGUGGCAAAGAAAAACCCAAAGGACAAAAGCACCAAAAAGAACGGCGAUACUCGCCCCAUAUUUUUCCUCCCAAUCAUCUUGAAGUCCAGAGUUAGAAAAUGAAUUCCAACUCCUCAGAAGGUUAGAAAAUGAUUGCCAACUCCUCAGAAGUCACAAUUCAAUAGAACCUAAUUCUGUUACAAACAACAGCAUUUAAACUAAAGACAGAUUCCACUUAAACCCAUUUCAUUUCACAGCUCCAGAAAACAAAUUGUAGCAAAUAAAACCUCUAUAUCUUCAUGAAGAAUGUCCAGCGGAGCCUAUGAAAACCCGAAGAGAAACAAAAAGAGCAUGCACCAAUCUGCAUCACAAUCAACAUAAAGAAAUUAUAAGACUCAAUGUUACAAAACAAUAGCUAGAACAAAAACCCAGUUACAAAACACAACUAAAUCAAGUGCCAAACAAUCCCAGUUGUUAAAGAAUCAAGAAAAUGAGAAUCCACUUAUUACCCAGAACUCAAGUUGGUGAAUAAAUUAGUAUAUACAGAUCUGAUAUGGCUACUUAAAAAAGGUGUUAUCUCAAUGAAAUUUGACAUAGAAAAAGAACUAAAAGAAUCCACAACAGCGAAAGAAAGAUCAAAGAAUUAACAGGAAAAAAAAAUUCCGAAAAACAAAAAAUUAAAGAAUGCAAGAGAGGAGAAAGCGCAUUUUCACCUAAAGGAGUAGUGAGUGAGGCUUUCAAAGACGGAGAGAAAGAGGGAUUUUGGGUUUUUGUCAACGGUUUGCUGGACAACGCGGAUGUUUGACAAAUUGCAACCGAAACAAAUUGAAUCCAACGUUUAUCAUCAUUUACGGUGCCAUUUUUAUGGUAUGUCCUAUUGGGCUAUUGUUGAGUUUUAUGCCUUACUUAUAAAAGCUCGGGGCGGGGGGUAGGUUGGUGGAAGGCUGACUUGGAGAUGAUGAGGGAUGUGGCGACAAUUGGAUUUGGUGAAAUCCUCCUUUGUCGUUUUCUUCUAAUCUAAAUGAUUUUUCAAAAAAAGAAUUUGGGAGUUUGCAUUUCGUUCCUCUAAAUAAGGAAUGUUAGUUUCAGUGCUCUUUAUAUGAACUGUUUACCGCUCUUUUUGCUAUCAAUUUCAUAUCAAUUAAUUUUUUUAACAUAAUUUAGUACCUACUAAUGUAAAAAGAGAAAAAAAGUAAUUUUUUUGAUAAGUGAAUUAAAACUAUUUUUGUAUUUUUCAAAAGAAUUUUAUAUUUUUUAUAUAAUAUCACUUGACAACAUAUAUUUUUAUUUAAUUUUUUUACAAGAGUUAAAAAAAUUCCGGCUAUAUGCGCCUAGAAAAGUCCCAUGCCUAAAAGAGGAGGAGGGUUGGUAUACUAACAGUCAACGCAAAGAUCACUAAAACACACGUCGUUAUGAAUCAUUUCUUUAAUUCUACAAAACACAGUUGGAUUAUGCCCAUCUAGGCACGUGCUACAUUCACACCUGGAUAUAAUGUUAAAUGAACAAGGGGUUCCAUCAUAUGAGCAAGGGUUAUCACACCAAAGACAGGUUUUUAAGUUUUCUAAAUUUUUAAAUUUAAAUUUGCUUUAAUUUAUAAUAAUUAAUCGACUAUAUUAGUUUACUAAUGGAGAAUAUGUUGCAUAGAAGGUGUUUGAUGUUAGCAAUUCUUUUUUUUAGUCUAUUUGGUUUCUUCUGUAAAUUAACGGGGUAGUAUUGCUAUAUUUCAUCGUUAAUUUUUAAAUAAUUUCUUGAAUGAGACAAAUAUUGCUAUCCAAAAAAAAAAAUUAUUUCAUCUUAAAUCAAUGUUUUGGAUGGUAAUUUUUUGAAGGAAGGGUGCGAUAUAUAUUUCUUAAAAUUUUUUGUUUAAAUAGAUAAUUAAAGAGAUUAGAAUUUGACAAGUGAAUUCUGGUAUUUACAACUUGAAAGAGUGAGAAAAAAUAGGCUUUUUUAAAUGAGUAGCUUUAUGAAUAAUCUAUGUCUAUAUUCUCCUCUAAGAAAGAAGGAGCAUUGUUCCAAACAUAGAAGCUAGCAUAGUUACAUGCUAAUCCUUUGAAUUUGGUACCACCGGGUAUCAUACUUAACAACAUUUGCUACCUAAGGUUAUUCACUUCCAUAUGCACUGGUCCCGAUCUUGCAUAGAAAGUCAUUUGACAACCUCUCUCAAAACAAUAUAUUCUGCUAUAACUGGAACCACAAUCCCGGGGAAGUAACCAAAUUUGGCAAUAAGGAACAAAUCAUCCUGGUUUGGAAAUAUAAUAGUAAAAGAGUAUCUUUAUUGCUGCAGAAAAAUUGCCCUUAACAACUCCAGUCAGAAGUCAGGUCUAGGUGUUACAAAUGACUCGUGGUGCAGUAUGACCUUGUUGAACAAUAUCAAUCUGCCUUGAAGAUGUGACAAUGUAGUAUGGAGAGCACUACCUUUGAUUCCAUAUAUAAUAAUUCCUUGCAUUCCAUAUAUUCCAUGCAAGCAUUGCAAAUGUGGCAUCUCAGGCCUAGUAAGAUAUUGUCCACUUUGGGCUGAACCCAUUUAGGCCCGCACGGGUUUGUUCCUGGGCUAAAACCAACUUAUAGCCCAAAAGGCCUCUUACUAGUCUAAGACCAGCCCUUCCUUAUGUACUUCACUUCCACCUUAUACUUAACCGAUUACAAUUCACCUAGGGUGUCACGGUAAAUUUUUCCAACUCGUCAUUGCCCAUAUCAAAAAAGUGAUAUAAAGACAUUAUAAAAUGAUUCAUAGUUUGAUGGCACAGUAACAUCAUUAUCAAGAAGCUAAUAUGAAUGCACAUGAGAGCAAUAGAAGAUGGCAUGGCACAGAUCUUAUCAACAUUGCACAAAGGACAUGUCGGUAAUAUAUUAACAUUUUUAUCCACUAGUCUAGCAUUAUUAGGGACAAUAUUUUUAUAGGCACACCAUAUGAAUCUCAUGGCCUUAAGAGGAAGCUUCAGACUCCAUAACCAUCUCCAUACAGGCCCCCUAAGAUAUCUGGCUUGCGAAAGAAAGCCCAUGACAACACAUUGAUAUCCUGACUUGACAUUAUAUCUAGCAUGAGUCGUCCAAUGCCACACAAUAUUGUCUUUCUAAAGACCUGUGAUAUGCAAGUAACGAUAGAAUCUUGAUAACAUCAUAAGGAAGAAACAAACCCUUUAUCAUCAAUUUGUUCCAGUGCCCUACAAUAUCUUUUAAACCCGCCACUUUAAGAUCUUUAAAACUAGAAAUCAUUGGUGAACUAACCGAGAAUGGACCAUCAUUAGCUAACCAAGGACAUUUCCACAUAUUAAUAGAGGUUCUUGAGCCAAUCUACCACCGAACACCAUGCUUUAAAACCUCAACAACUUUAACAAGAUCCUUCCAAACAAAACUAGGAUUUGAACCUUCAGUCGCGUAAAAAAAAUCCACUUUUGAAAAAUAUUUUACUUUGAGAACAGAAAAUAGAAGGGUGGUUGGAGAAAAAAGUAGUCGCCAACCUUGUUUAGCCAAAAGAGAUAAAUUAAAAGCACGAAAGAGUCUAAAGCCAACACCACUAGAGACCUUACUAUGACACAUGCUUUCUUAUAAUAGCCAAUGGAUGGAUUGACUACCAUCAAGCUUUGAACUCCAUCAGAAUGAGUUCAUCAUCUUCUGCAACUCAUCAGCCAAAGAGAGUGUGAGCAGAAAAACUCUCAUAGAAUAAGCCGGUAAUGCUUGCGUGAUAGCAUCUUGAAGUACCAUCUUACCACCUUGGGAUGAUAACUUUUGCUGCCAACCACAUAUAAGAGACGAAUACAAUCCCUAAGAAAAGAAAACACAACUCUUUUAUCUCUACCAACCGGAGAUGGAAAACCUAAAUACCGACCAUGAUCAAGCAGACUAAAAAUUUCCAAGAUUUGAGAAAUCCAAGCACAUCUUCCAGCAUUAAUGUUUAUGCUAAAAAAUAUCCUACACUUUUACAAAUUAGCAAGUUGACCCUAAGGAACCUCAUAAAUUUGUAAAAUCCUUUUAAUACCUAAAGCCUCCUACUCAUUAGCUCGAAAGAAGAAAAAGCCAUCAUCGGCAAAUAAUAAGUGGGUAAUACUAGGUGCAUCCCAAGCCAUAGAACAUCCAUGAAUACUUCCAUUACUCAUUGCAUGCCCCAAUAAAGCUGACAAAUCCUCAGCAGACAAGAUAAACAAAUAAGAAGAAAACAUGCAACCUUAGCGAAAACCAUGAUGGGAAUAAUAGGUCAUAUAGCAGAGACGUUAAAAGAAACACAAUAAGUUAUAGAAUCAAUACAUAUAGCAAUGAGAUUCACCCAACACUCUGAGAAACCCAUAUGAAUCAUAAUAGUUCGCAGGUAGUUCUAAUCCAUAUGGUGAUGUGCCUUUAAUAAUUUUUCAUUGUGCUAAUAAAGGAUACAUAUUAACUAUAAAUAUUAACUUAGUUAUAAAUAUUAACUCAUUAAGAAUGUUAACUGUGACACCCUAGGCGAAUCUCAUAUCAGCUAAACACAAGGUGAAAGUAAUGUACAUAAGGAUGAGCAAGCGUUAGACUAGCAAGACGUGUUUUGGGCAUAAAGAUGAGGCUUUGGCCUAGAAACAUAACCAUGCGGGUUGAGCCCAAAGCGGGCAACAUCUUAUUGGGCUUGGGAUGUUACAGACUUGGUAUCAAAGCCAAACCUUGUCCUUAUGGCUGGUGGUGAAGGAAAACUCAUGCUGAGUACCUACCUAAGGAGGGUGUUUGUGACACCCUAGGCGAAUCUAUAAAGAUAGACAAGUCUUAGACUAACAAGAUGCGUUUUAGGCUUAGAAACGCUUAGAAGUGAGCCCUGACCUUAGGACCCAAAGAACAAAAUCACGUGUGUUGGGCUCGAAGCGAACAAUAUCUUACUAAGCUUGAGAUGUUAUAUUAACUCCAUUAGGAAUUUUAAUUUUUCUUAUAAACAUUUUGGUAUAAUUUUAUUUUCAUCUUUAUGUUCUAUUUUUGAAAUUAUAUAUGAGUAAUGUGAACUAAAUUUAAAUAACUCGUAAUGUAAAAUAGUUAUUAAAUUUAGAAAAACCUAUUGUUGAAUUAGUUUAUUAAUUUUCCUUUAUUUUUUAUAAUUAGUUAUGAUAAAACUUUAUAAUCUAUAAUGUUUUUCUUUUAACUUUUCAGUUAGUUUAUUAGUUUUAUGUUUAUGUGGUUUUUCUAUCUAUAUUCUAAAAAAUUAAAUCAUGAGCACAACACUAUAAUGCAAUGCACAUUAAAAGAUAUAGAAAUAAGCGGACAUUAACACUACCAAGAAAAUAAAAUAUAUUAAAUUUAAUAAUGAUAAAUUUCCUUUUGAUUUCGUUAAAAAAAUUUAAAAAAUUAUUAUUUAGAAGUUUUAAUUUAAUUUAGUUAGUUUAGAUUUGUAUAUAAGGAUUUUUAUUUAAAUAAAUAAUAAUAUAUAGAAAAAUAAGUAAAAAUAUUGGUAAAGGCUUAAAUAACUUAGUAUGCAUGUAAAUCAUUUAAAAAUUGCAAAUUAAAUAACGACUAAUUGCAAUGAGUCACAAUGCACAAGUCACAUUGCUUUCUUUCUUUUCUUUUUCUUUUUCUUUUUUUUUUUUUUUGAGAAAGACAAGUCACGUUGUUAAGUACAUGUAGGCAUGGCCACUGUUCCAGAACUGCCGAUUUCGGUUCCAAAAAAUUUGGAACUGGAAUUGAAUCAAAAAUUUUCAGUUUCGAUUUUGGUUUGGAACCGAAUGGUUCCGGUUCCUUAACGGUUCUAAAACCGACGGUUCCGGUCGGUUCUCCGAUCGGUUUUCUGGCUAAUCGCAUAAUUUUAAAUUUUAAAUUUUGAAGAUCGGUUUUCAAAAUUUUAAAAUUUGUGAAAAUUAUUUCUAAAAAAAAUACACUUAAAAAAUUAAAAAAUGCUUCAAUUAAAUUUAUUUUUUUUGAAAAGACUUGAACUUAAUUAUUUUUUUUAAAAAAGUCUUCAACUAAAUUUAUUUUUUGUUUAAAAAAGUUGGAACAUAAUUUUUUUUUUAAAAAAAGGGCUUGAACUUAAUUUUUUUAAAAAAUAAAAAAUUAAGUUGCCUACGUAUCCUCUUGGGGUUUAAAGGAAUCAAAGCUCAUGUAGUUCUUACUUACCUUAUACCAAUUUGACCCCUUUUGCAUUAUUCGCUAUUUCCACCACCGGUUGAUGUUCCCGUUGAGUACCCAUCGUAAAGAUCUUAUAAAUCUUCAUAUUCUUUUAGAUUUUCUUAUGCUUUUAGUUCGGCCUUACUCCAAUCAUCCACGCAUGAUUGUGCUUCUAGUGAAUCGGGUGGCAUACGAGAUCGUGUUUCAUCAAGUAUGUUUCCUCCUUGACUAAAAGCUUGUUCAACCGCAACAGUGGAGACCGGAGCUGCUAAAACUUGUUUUGCAAUUAAAGAAAGUAUUGGAAAUGAUUGGCGUGAUGACUCCAUCAAUCUAAAAUUGGAAAUUUAUUAUCUGCAUAAUUAUUACCAAACUCAAAAGAAUUGGUUAGAUAAUUAUCAAAUUCAAAAAAAGAACCGGGUUCCCUUGGUCUUUUUUGUCUUUGUAGUAAAACCCGUUCAGCAACACCAACACUACUUACCCUUUGAGUUGGAAAUUGUUGAAUAUUGAAUUGAGAAGAAUUAGAAGUAGAUGAACUAGAAAAUUGAACAAAUUCACUAUAUAAUUCUAUAAUAUUUUGUCUAACUUCAUGCAAUACUAAAUUUAUAUUAAUACUAUCUUCCAUAUCAAGAUUUAAUAAUUCAUAAUAAAUAGUCAAAUAUUCACAUAAAACUUCAAUUUUACAUCUAGAAUCAAAUACAAUAGCAACAAGAUAAAGGGAUGUUAUAUUUUUAAAAUAAGAUAACUAUUUUUUUUUCAUUGAAAAAACACAAUAUUUUAAUAUAAAAUCAUUUUCAAAUUCUUGGAGUGCACUAACAAUAUUAAUACACAUAGGUAAAAAUAAAUGAGAUGUGGGAUAAUAAACCCCANNNNNNNNNNNNNNNNNNNNNNNNNNNNNNNNNNNNNNNNNNNNNNNNNNNNNNNNNNNNNNNNNNNNNNNNNNNNNNNNNNNNNNNNNNNNNNNNNNNNNNNNNNNNNNNNNNNNNNNNNNNNNNNNNNNNNNNNNNNNNNNNNNNNNNNNNNNNNNNNNNNNNNNNNNNNNNNNNNNNNNNNNNNNNNNNNNNNNNNNNNNNNNNNNNNNNNNNNNNNNNNNNNNNNNNNNNNNNNNNNNNNNNNNNNNNNNNNNNNNNNNNNNNNNNNNNNNNNNNNNNNNNNNNNNNNNNNNNNNNNNNNNNNNNNNNNNNNNNNNNNNNNNNNNNNNNNNNNNNNNNNNNNNNNNNNNNNNNNNNNNNNNNNNNNNNNNNNNNNNNNNNNNNNNNNNNNNNNNNNNNNNNNNNNNNNNNNNNNNNNNNNNNNNNNNNNNNNNNNNNNNNNNNNNNNNNNNNNNNNNNNNNNNNNNNNNNNNNNNNNNNNNNNNNNNNNNNNNNNNNNNNNNNNNNNNNNNNNNNNNNNNNNNNNNNNNNNNNNNNNNNNNNNNNNNNNNNNNNNNNNNNNNNNNNNNNNNNNNNNNNNNNNNNNNNNNNNNNCAUGUAAUGCCCAUUUAAGAAUGCAUUUGCCAAUGAUCACUCCAAAUAUCACAACAAAUUGAAACACGAAUUUUCAUUUCAGAAAAUAAAAGCUCAAACUUUUUUUUUUCUUUUUUAUACAAAGAAAUAAUAGUUCGUUUUACAGUAUUUCUUAGUACUCUUUUAGCAAAAGGAUUUAAAGCUUUUUGACAAUAAUUAUUAAAACCGACUUCUUCACCAAAACUANNNNNNNNNNNNNNNNAAAUCAUUUUUGCUAAUUCUUCUUUUUGUAUUUUUUCAGAAUAUUGAAAUAAAGAAAUGUUAGAAGAUGCGUACCCUGAAAUUUGUAUUUGAGACCGAUCAACUCCUGUUUUUGUUGGAUGUUUUGUCUCCAAAUGCUUCCAAAAUGAUCCAUAGCCGCCCGAUUGUUUAAAUUUAUAAGAAUUUCCACAAUAAUUGCAAAUUACAUCGAAUAUUUUGUCACCUUUGAAUUUUUUUGUGAAAUGAAUAACGAAUAUGUUAGAACUCCGUCUUGCUCUUCGAAGAAGUUGUGUACCUUGCUCUNNNNNNNNNNNNNNNNNNNNNNNNNNNNNNNNNNNNNNAUUCAGAUUCUUGAGUUGGAAUUUCCAUAUUUUCAUUUGGAUAUCCCUCAAAAUUAAAUCGGUUGGGAGUGAAAUCGAAGAUGUCAUUUGUAGGGAUAGAUGAAUAUUGUGUUUCUCCAAUCUUUCCCUUGCCCUUAGUAGAAUUUGAGUUUCCUCCACUUGUCAUUAUAUGAAAAUAAUAUAUAAUUUGGAAAAUUGAAUAAAAAAAAAUAGAGAUAAUUAUUAGAGAUUGGAAUUAGAGAUUGGAAGUUGAAUAAAUUAAUUCACAAUAAAUUGUGAAUGGAAAUUAGAGAGAUUGUAGAGUAGAGAAGAAUAAUAUAGAGUAGAGUGUAGAGAGAGUAGAGAUUUUUGUGUGAGAAAAUUGUAAAUGGAAUUGGAAUUGAAUGAGGUAAUUAUAAUAAAUCCAAAAAAUCAUUUUUCCACAAAUAUCCUUGAAACUAACUGUUAUAUAACCGUUUAUAGUUGUUGGGAGGGGUAAUUAAGAGAUUUCACAACAAAAUUAAAAAAAAAAGAGCUGCUGACAGUUUGUAACGGCUAGAUCCCCGGUUCAAAUCGGUUCAAAUCGACGGUUCGAACCGACAGUUCUAACCGGCCAAAAAAUCGGCGGGGGCCCGGUUUCCAAAAUAUUGGAACCGGAACCGAACCGUAUACCUCCGGUUUCGGUUCCCACCGGUUUCGAUUCCGAUUCGGACCGAUUCCGGUUCUGGGAAUCGUAAUAUGGCCAUGCUUAAGUACAUACAAUGUAUAAGAUCAUAUAUUAAUGAAGCACAAUAUUGAAACGAGACUUCCAAAAUAAUAAAUAUUUGUUUAGGUUUUAAAUUUGCGAUCUAUUACUCUAUAAACACUUGAUCACUUUCAAAAUAUUUUCAUAUUGUAAUUAUUGUUAUUAACUAAGUGAUUGGCAAAAAGACUAAAAAAAGCCUCAAUUUUAAUCUUUUUUUUUUCCAAUUCUAACUAUUUUUAUUUAAUUUUAUCAAUUGAUAUCGUAAAUUGUUAUUAUUAAUAUUAUUUUUCACAACCGUGACCUCUAUCCACUUACCAUUCAAAACUUUGAUAUAGCCGUUAAGUAUAAUAAUUGAGUCCAUAUAUAAUUUAGUUAAUUAUGAGUAAACAAAUAAUAAAGUUCAAUAAUAAAAAAGAGUGUUAAUGAUUUUUCAAACUUUUUCGAUUAUUUGGCUUUUAUUAUUUGCUUAUUCAACACCAAGUAAGCUGUAUGUGGAGUCCACUCGUUAAAUUUAAUGACCACAUCUCCAUGUUUUGGACAAUAUAUAAAUGGGGGCUAUGAUUUAUGGAAAAAAAAUCAUGAUAUUUGUUAACUAUCAUAAUUAAGAAUUGAGAGUAUUUGAGAAUUCGUUUUCGCUUGGAGUAAAUUUGGGUUAUAUAUAUUGGAAUAAGGAUAACUUUAUUAGAAUAAUGAUCAUGAGAAUCUUACAUUAUUUGUUAGUUAGAGUUUAUUUGAGAGUUUAACAUCCUUUAAUGUAUUUAUAUAUUGUCCUUUUAAGUAUUUUAUUAUCGUACAUUAUCAAUAGUCCUCCAAAAAAUGUUGGUCAUUUAUGUCCAACAAAUGUUUAAAUUUAAAUGGAUGGACUGCUUAAAUAUGAGUUGUUCGACUGCUUAUGUCCGAGUUAAUGGACUAUUUAUGUCCGAACUGAUGGACUGUUUAUAGACCGCUUAAGUCCGAAUUGGAAAAUUGGUUAUGUCCGCACUGAUGGACUAUUUAUGGACCGGUUAAGUCCAAACUAGAGAAUUGGUUAUGUCUGAACUAAUGGACUGCUUAAGUUCAUUUUGUUGAGGACUGCAUAAGUCCAAAUUUAUUGAGGACUACUUAAGUUCGGAUUUAUUGAGCUUUAUUUGAUUGUGGUACCUGCGCUUUUAUCAUGAUAAAAAGAAUGAAAACUAAUUAAUAAAAUUGCUUUAUCUUAUUGAAAUGGAGACAAUAAAUAAAUAUUGUUGUCUUAUAAAUUCAACUUAACAUUUCAUUAGCAAUCAGUAAACAGUAAAGAAGAUAAAAUAUGUAGCUCAAUUUUAAAAGCAAUGAUAUAUUCAGCAAAAUAGUAACGAGAUUGUAAUAUAACAUUACAAAAGAUAUUGCAUGUUUUAGAUACUAUUUUUUAUUUUUUAUUUAUUGUAUUAGUCAUUUAUUUCUAUUACGUUGUUGUUCAAUUUGUUAAACUCUGGUCGAUCUUUGCUAUUCAUGCAAACUAAAAAUCAAAAUUUAUUCUUUUCUUUGUUAGAAAAAAGGGAAGGAAAGAAAGAAUCAACAAAAUCGAAGGACUCAACAUAUUCAACCAAUCACCAUCCUUGGAGCAAAUUACUAAAAUAUAUGAAGAAAAAAAGUCAAUAUGAAAAUUGAUAAAUAAGUUCACCGUAAAAAGUUCAUGUUCCUGCAACGACACUUCCUGAAAGUGAAAAAUAUUUCUAUCUUUAAGGAGUUUAAAGACUUAAACCAAAACCUGAAGUUUCAAUGUUUCUUAUCGGUCAGGUCAUAAUAUUGUGUUAAAUCAUCUUUAGUAAGUUCCAAAAAACGAACUCCCAACUCCUACAUUCAUCUCAACCAGUAAUUACAGUAAGAGUUAGAAAGGUUUUCCCUGCUUUUAAUUCUAAAGUCCAAAUCAAGAAAGAUGUAAAUCACAUCAAGAAGACACCUCAAUUGCAUUAAUACUAAGAUUUGCUUCACAUACAAUAAUAAAAUAUAUUAAAAUAAUAAUACUAGACUCCUAAAUAAUCUCAAACUAACAAAUAACGUAGGAUUCAUAAUUCUUAUCCUAAUACGACUAUCUUAAAUCCAAUGUAUAUACUCCAAAAUUACCCCAAGGAAGGGUUAAUUCAUAAUUUACUACACCUCAAAUUCUGAGAGUUUAACAAUUGGUGGUGUGAGCAUGAAACAUACCUUCAACCCUAAAAAAAAAAAAAAUCCCAACAGUUUCGAUUUCUAUGGCUAACGAUUUCACUAAAUGCCUCAACAUGGAAGGCCAAGACAAUACCCACGACGAGGCCAACCAACAACCCACAUUCGCCCCUCUACAAACCACUGAUCCCCAGGCAGCUGCUCUAGCUCAGGCUUAUUCACAAUUCACCAUCAUGCUGAAACGCCUCUUGGAGAAUCCUCAGCCUAGUGGCGAACUAAUACCACCCACCAGGUAGGCGAAUCUUCCCCACCAAGAAUAUAGCCUCCCUCCAACUUACCUAAAUACCAAAGUCAUUCAGUAUUUGAUCGAUACCAUGAGGCGGAAUCGGAGGUACACCCUAGCGCGACCAUCCCCAAUAGCCAAAAGCUAAGUCACACCCAACCAAUCUUGGACAGAGCUAAUCUCCAAAAUGUUGUCAAGGAAUUGGUUCAAGAGUGUAGAGAGACAGGAGAAACAGGGGAUUAUGGUCUCCUAUAAGACUCGUCUUUGUCAGCUGAUAUUUUGGUUGCCGCUUUCACCAAGGUUCAAACUUCUUACUUUCCAAUUGCAUGAAGGAUCUACCAAUCCUCGAAGCCAUCAGACGACCUUCUGAACUAUGAUGUACCUUCAAACCAAUUCGGAGGAUCUAAUGUGUAAGGUGUAACAUUCCCGAGUUGAGUCAUUUCAUAGAGUCGAGUUGAGUCGAGUUGAACCAAACCCGGUUGGGGUAGAAUGAGAUUAGAAGUGGACUUAUUUGAAUGAGAGGAAAAGAUCAAAGCAUAUAAAGGAGAGGAUUCAAUUGCAUUAAAAGAUCAAGCUUGGGUAUUAAGUUGUAACCUUUGCAUAAUUGAGGUGCCAUGUAGGAAGUUUUACAUCUAUUUUGAUAGCCUACCCGUAAAAAUCAUUUUCACUUUCCCAUUUUUCAUGUUUAUCUCCAUCUUCUUCAUCUCCUUCCCUUCCCUUCCUUUCAUUUUCAUGGUAGUUGUGGUAAUUAAGCAUUAAGGCAACCUCAAUUUGCAACAAGUAAGUAAGUAGUAUAUCUUGAAGCUUUGUGUUAUUCAACUUCUUUGAGUUAUAUUGUGGGUAAUGUAUAAGAAUUGUUAUGGAUAGGUGAAGGAAGUUCCAAGAGUGUAGAGAAGAGAAGCUAGAAGAGCUCAAGCUUUUGGAGUGGAGGUUUGAUAUCUCUUUUCAUUUGCUAUUGGCUUUGUAUGGAAUUUGUGUGGUGUGUUGAUGAUGAGACAAUAUCUUGCUCCAUGUUGAAUGGGAGAACUGGAAAUGUUGAGAAAACAGGGGAGACCUUCAUCUUGAUUUUGACCCCAUUUAUUGCUUGAUUUUGACCCCAGUUAAUGGUGGAAUUAGGAAGUGUCAUAGAAGAGUUAUUUGUUCCUCUAUGUGUUAGCUUUNNNNNNNNNNNNNNNNNNNNNNNNNNNNNNNNNNNNNNNNNNNNNNNNNNNNNNNNNNNNNNNNNNNNNNNNNNNNNNNNNNNNNNNNNNNNNNNNNNNNNNNNNNNNNNNNNNNNNNNNNNNNNNNNNNNNNNNNNNNNNNNNNNNNNNNNNNNNNNNNNNNNNNNNNNNNNNNNNNNNNNNNNNNNNNNNNNNNNNNNNNNNNNNNNNNNNNNNNNNNNNNNNNNNNNNNNNNNNNNNNNNNNNNNNNNNNNNNNNNNNNNNNNNNNNNNNNNNNNNNNNNNNNNNNNNNNNNNNNNNNNNNNNNNNNNNNGGUUUGGCCCUUGGCCUGGAAGCGCUCGCGACUUGCGUUGCGCGCUCGCGUAGUUGGCAUGAAAACUCACUGUCUCUCAUUUGGCACCCUACGCGCUCGCGGCUCUCAAGUACGCGAUCGCGACUUGUGCCUGAUAACACACUGUCUCUUAUUUUCUGCAUUACGCGACCGCGACCUCCAUGUACGCGCUCGCGACUUGGUUUUUCCUGCAUUUUUGGACUUUCUUUUUCCAUUGAGGUUAGGUAGAAACCAUGUAGAUAAGGCUAUGUCGCGACAUAGAAUAGCAGAUCUGCGCCCCAUACAGUUUGGAACUCCGGCUACAGGCCGUUGAGUGGAUAUGAUUAAACCGUGCGGUGCGAAUCCGGUUAGGGGCACCAAAACGGACAAUAUUGGCAUAGGCGAAUCCGGUUAGGGGCCUAUAGCAUACAGUUUUACCCAGUUUCAUACAGUUUAUCUUAUCACUUCGGUUUCACUAUAACCUUAUGGAGCCAUUCAGAUAUCUUGACAUAACAUUUCAUGAAUUAUACAGGAUUAUAAACAGUACAAAAGAUAAUCAAGAUAUCAUGAAAGUAUCAUAAUGUGUGAGCUUAUAUGUGCCAUAUAUGUUUCCAUGGUUCUUUCUAUAUAUGUAUGUGUUUAAUUGUUUCUUUAUUUGUUGAGAUAUCCACUGAGCAUUAUUUGCUCAGCGAGUUACCUGUUUAACUCGCAGGUUUUGAGACUGGUCCAUAGAGAGUCCGCGUACAACUGCUGCAGUUCAUCUGUAGAAGACUCGGUCUUCAGGGUAGAAACUCAUUUUGUUUUUCUUUUUAUGGCAUGUACAGGGCAUUCCUUUGGGCCCAUUUCCUUUUGUAAACUUGUAUCAUGUUUUGUAAAUAUAAAUUACAUUAUUUUUGUAAACAGUACCAGCAUGUUAUUAUAUUCAAUAUAUAGUAUGUUUUCAGCAUGUCAGACCAUACAGUCAACCAGUUUGUAGCAUCUCGACUCGGUUCAUUCGGGUUUACGGGUGGACCGGGAAGGGGUGUUACAUAAGGUCUUCCUAACUACCCUGAAAGGAGCAUCUCAAGAAUGGUAUCAAACGCUCAAACAUGAUCCAUUCAUUCCUUCUCCUAGUUAGCCACAACAUUCUGAGCUCGUUUCAUAACAUGUAUACUAUCGAGGAAAAUAUUGUCUGACUUGGUAGAUUUAAAAAGAGAAGAGGGAGCCCUAAGGCAAUACGUAUCCAAAUUUCAAAGAAUGGCGAUGCAAGUGGAGAACUUGAAUGAUGAGUUGGUCAUUAGCUCUAUGGCAAAAAAUUACAGGUACUAAGAAAUCAUGGAAAGAGAAACCUUGGUUUGCCUAAAACAUCCUCAGCUUAAAUAAACAUAAAUGCAAAAUUCAUAGUUUUGGAAAAAGCCAGGACAAUAGAAAGGUAGAAUAAGACAUGCUUGGCUCUGGUGGCUGAUGAGACAGUUAUUGUGCACUUCCAGUUAUGGGGAGAUGAGUGUGAUGCUUUUCAAGCUGGUGACAUUGUCCGUAUUUUCGCUCCCUCAAAUUAAAUUUAUAAAACUUAUUAUUUCUUUCUCUUUUUUUUUUUUUUUUUGAUAUUAUGUAAUGGCUAUGGAAGAUACUCAUAAAAAAUAAGGUAAUUUCCCAUGUCACCAUAUGCUUCCUUCCCCAUAUUUAGUUCAUGUUGCAAAGUGCCAAUAUAUAUAGGGGUGGCUAUUUCACGUUUUUUGGAACCGAAAUCAAAACUGGAACCGUGAAGAACUGGAAUCAGUCCAAACGGGAAUUGAAACUAGGGGUUUGUGGUCCGAUUCUGGUUCCAACAUUUGAGAAACCAUGAACCACGGUUCCAAGAACCGACCGAAACCAACAUUUUUUCAAUCGAUUAGAACCGACUAUUCCAAACAAAUUUGAAUUUUUAGGUUUAACAGCUAGAACUGGCGGUUCCAUCCGGUUUCAACAACUUUUUUUAUUUUUCAAAUAUUUUUGUGAAAUCCCCAAAAUAACCGUCCUAACAACUAUAAAACGCUAUAUAAUGGCUAGUUUUAAAGGUAUUUGUGGAAAGUUUAUUUUUUGGAUUUACUAUUGAUACCCAUUUUCAUUUAUGCUCUCAAAUAAAAUUAUCUCUACUCACUACUAUCUACUCUAUAUUACUCUCUACUCUACAAUCUCUCUAAUUUUCAUUUAUAAUUUUGUCAAAAUUAUUGUCAAAUAAUUUGUCUAAAGUCCAAUCUUCGAUUAUUGUCAAAAUAAGUUCGAGCCUUUUUUUUAUUUUUUCUUAAAAUUUUUUAAAAAAUUAUUUCAUAAAUAUUUAAAUUUUAAAUUUUCAACAAGAAAAUAUUCCCCAAUUUUUGAUUUUGUAAUUAUGCGAUUCGCCGAAAAAUCAGCCGAAAUCGUCGAUUUUGAAACCGUUAAGGAAUCAGAACCAUACGAUUCCACAGCAUAACUGGAACUAUCAGUUUCCACUUCCAAAUUUUUGGAAUUUGAAGCCGAAACUAUGACCACCCCUAAAUAUAUAGGUGUCAUGAUUAAUUUCCUCGAUCCAUUUCAUCAACCACCAUAUGUUUUGAAAACAUUACAUGACAAUGGGAAUGGCCUUCCAAUUAAACUAAAUUUAAGUUUUAAGCAUGCAAAGCUUUCGGUUUAGAUUCUUGCAAUUAAAAUAAAUUUGCUCUUUGAACCGUGAUUUAGUUUAGAUUUUUUUGAAAGAAAGUAUUUGGAGCGGUAUCAAAUUAGGGUGAAUGGGUCAUUUUGUAGAUUUUGCUAUGCUGUAAACCUACAGAUUUUGCUAUGCUGUCAACCUACGUGGAGAAAAUGUCAGUCUACGUAAAUAGACACAUAAGCGUCUAUGGAUCCCAAUUAGUCCCAUUAGAUAUUCCCGAUUGUCCAUGUACAUCAUGAGAUACCAAAUUAAAAAAAAAUUAUAAAUUUAGAUACUCAAUUGUCACAAUUUUCUAUUCACACACCAAAAUAAAAAAAAAUAUAACAUUUUAAUACCAGAUUAACGUUAUACCUUUAUUUUAUGUUUGUCUCUAAUAGGAAAGAAUGCAUGACAUUUAGUUAGUGUAAUAAUGGAUAAAAAUAAUAAUCCCUUUAUUCUAAAAGAAUAAUUUUCAUUGUUUUUACAUUUUUACAUAAAUUACGAAUAGGUAGUUAAAUUAGUUCAAUUUUACACGCAUUUAUCCUUCUUUUCCUAUAUAUACCCAAUAUAUUAAUAAUUUUUUGAUUAAAUUUUGAAAUUGUUUAUAAUGUUUUUCAAUUAAAAAUUAAUAUCUCGGCAUAUGUUUCAAUUACUUUAUAUUUAUAUUUGACUAAAUAUUUAGUAAUUCUAUUAACAUUAAUUAUUGACACAAAUUAUAAUAAGGGUAUUAUAGGAAAAUUAAUAAAAAGACUAUUUCUAAAAUGGAAAUGAGACUAUUAUUUUGGGACACCAUUUUGGAUAGUGAAAAUAUUUUUUUAGGAUGAAGGGAGUAACUUAUUAAGGGCGAAAGAUAAUUGAAUGGAUUUCAUCGCACCUGAAUGUAACAUAAUAACAGAAAAGGGCAAAGCCGAAAAUCAAUAAAUGUUUAUGAAGGGUUACAAAUUGGAAUUCUACAUUCUCAUAUGGUUGUUUUUGAAGCCCUUCUUGCAAGAAUGACCCAACAAAGAACACGAUAGAAAACAAAGAAGCCCAACAUAACCCCCACAUUAAUCCAUCUAUUGUCUUUUUCAAGUCCUCUACUCUUCAACACAUCAUUCCCAGUAACCAAACACUGAGAAUGAUUUUCUUGAUAAUGCCAAGAAAAACACUCAUUUCUCAAACUCCAAUACUCAUUUACCAGAAGACUAUCUAAUGGGUAUCUGUAUAGAGAAAUGUAAUACAUAAAAAUCCAAUACUUAGGAAUAUUUUCUUUGGGUAUAAAAUACCCAGAGAAAAGGAAAAAAGCACCAAGAACUGUGCAUAUUAAAGAAUUCCCUGAAAUAAAAUCAGGAGAAAUAGCACUUAGAAAAAGAACUAAAGAAGAAGCCAUCAAGACUAUUAACCAAACAAUAAAAGUAAAGAAUGUGAAAGCCGAAAUGGAAGGGUUAAGCCCUACAAGCCAAUAAAUUGGAAUAGAGAAAAUAACAGCAACAGCAAGCAAGAAAGGCAAGAAAAUAAUUGUAUUGGCGAUUAUGUAAGAGGAAAUGCUAUAAGCUGCUCUAGAAGCUUCUUUCAUUAGAACUCUUCUUUCUUGAAGAAAUAUUGGAAGAGCUUCAACUGUAGAAGAAAGAAGAAAGCUAAGGCUGAAGGCAAAAAGCCCUAAUCUUUCUGCUAUUCCUUCUUCAUCUUUUUUAACUUUGAUAUAUACACUAGCUAAACCAAACCCACCAACUAAUGCUUGCAGUGUUCUUGCCAAUAGUAGUUGCUUUGUUCUGUAAAUGACUUUCGAAAAUCUCGAGCAAAGAUAAAUAAUCUCAUGCAAAUGUAAAAGAGAAGAAAUACCCUUUUUUUGAAUACCUUGUUCUAUUUGAAAAGCUGAUUCCUCUUGCCAAAUUGAGUAUUGCAAAGGAGAUAUAUAAGUUAUGGAUUUUGAAUGCUCACCAAGUGUUUGUAUAAUUUCCAUAGAAAACUCGAGAGCAUUGAGUUGCAUAGGAACUUGAAAUCCCAAAUUAUAUAUUGUCUCCUCCAGUGAUUCUAAGCUACCAUUAUAAACCACACAACCAUUAGAAAGGAUUAAGAAGUUAUUAAUAAAUCCAAGUAUUCUAUAACUUGGUUGGUGUAUAGAAAAUAAAAUUGUUCUGUGUUUUUCUUUUGCCAUAUUUGAAAGUAACUCAAUAACUUGAAGAGCUGAGGUACUGUCUAGGCCUGAAGUAGGCUCAUCAAGAAGCAAAAUUGGCGGGUCAUUAAUUACAUCAACGCCUAUGGAUACCCUUUUUCUUUCUCCACCUGAUAUGCCUCUAUUCUCUUCAUCACCAACAAAGCUAUUGGCAACAUGCGAUAGGCCAAGCUCUAACAUUAAACUCUCUACCCUCUUCUCUUUAUCUUUUGUACUCAUUUCUUUGAGUCUAAAUUUUGCACCAUACAUUAGAGUUUCUUUCACUGUCAGUAAAGGAAGCAAAUUAUCUUCCUGUGCUACAAAUCCACAUAUCUUCCUUAACUGAGCUGGCUUAUAUAUAAACCGAUCGUUUAUGGAUACACUCUUUGGAUUAAAAUCUUUGUCUUUAACUCUUCCAGAUAUUAUCCGAAGAAGAGUAGAUUUUCCAGUCCCACUUGGACCAACAAUGGCAAGAAGUUCAGAGCUUCUUGCUUGAAAAGAAACUGAUUGAAGUAUGUUAAUAGGCUUAGGCUUUUGGCCUACGUGAAAGAAUGAAGCAAACGUUGACUCACAAGAAGAAAUGGUAUAGGAAAGAUUUGUUACAGUAAGUUUGUAAGGCACUUGUGAAUGGUGUUGAGGUGGCGGUGGUGAGUGGCGGGAAGAGGAGGAGCGGCUGGUGGAUUCCUCAGAAGUUGAAAAGAGAAUAACAGAGUCAUCUUCUAUUGUUGGUUGAUUGAAACAAGAAGGCACUUUUGUUAGCUCCAUUUAGUGGAUAUGGAAGCAUAUGCAAAUGCAAAUGCAAGUGGAGAGCCUUUUAAGUGGGAAUUUUAUUGAGAUUAUGUGAAGUAUGGUGUGGGAGUUGGGCCAACCAAGUUAAAAUUCUUGAUUGCUUGAAGAAUUAAUUAGGAUUUGGUUAGUGUUUGGUGAUCUGGGAAGGUUGACUAUUUUACAUUGCUUAUCAGAAGUUUCAAAGUAAUAUUUCAUUUCUAUACAUUUCAAAUUUCUUGAUGUUGGUGAUGAUUAAGGUGCUAUCUCCAUUAAUGAUAAUGGUUCAAUUUUUUAUAAACAGGAUUAUUUUUUUACUUCUAAUAAUUAUGGAUUUUUUGUGUUUUAUGUGAAUAAUUUAUUUUUAAUUAGACUGAACUACUUAAUAAUAUACUCAAAAAUUAAUUCAUGAUACUAUCUAAUAUAUAUAUAUAUAUAUUCUUAGGCCGUUUAUAUUGUCAUUGAACCUAAUACGUAAUUUAGUCUUUGAAUAUAUAAAACCAUACGCUAAAAAUGGUAGGUGAGAAAAUACUCAGAUUUUCGCAAGGAAGGAACCACAUUAACAAAUGGGUUUUCCCUCGAAAUACAAAAAAAAAGAAUAACAAUAAUGUUUUCAAGAUCAGAAGUGAAGUGAGACAAUGACUAACAAAGCUUGGGCCAGUGUCAUAUAACAAGUGGGCCGGACCGAAGUGAUGUACGCAAGAUGAGCCCAUUGGCUCUUACCAGUUUCUAAUGGGCUCUUACCCGAAUCUCCACCGCGGUUGUGGAAAGUGAAAGUAAUCAUUCCCCUCCUAUCAAACUUUAAAAAUUAGUAAGGGAAAAAUAAUUAUUUGGUCCCUGACGUUUGGUCAAAUUAAUUAACUCGUUCGAGCAAUUUGACAAUAUUAUCUUGAGGUUUAACUCCUUGAGGUUUAACUCCAUCAGCCUACUUAGUUUUUCUGCUCAUUUUUUUUUGAGUUAAAAUACGUGAAAAAAUAAGAAAAAUGUGAGACAAUUAAUUUAAAAUGACAUUACUUGCCCUUUAACCUAACCUACCUUUUUUCCUAUUUCUUGCGCAAACAAUAGCGGUAUCUUACCCUUCAUAUUAUGAUGGUAAAUCAGAUAUUGGAGCCUAGGUGUUCAAAUUCUACCAAACCUGAAUUGGCCUAUACUGGCAUGCUCAUUCCACGAAACGACGAUUCAAGGAUGCAUACUCCUCUAUGACAAGAGUUCGUUGUCAAUUACUUCACGAUACUCCUUGAUGCUUGGGUACUAAGCUUUGGUCCAUUUCAACAUAAAUUCCUGAAUUGGAUUUCGAUAAAGUCGUUGUAGCUCCCAAAAUCAUUGAAAAAUUAUAGACAUUUGUGUCUUCUCCCAUUUUAACAAAAAAAACUAAGCUGCAUAUAAAUGAUUUCAGAAACAAAAAGGAAGAAAGUAGACUUUUAAGACUUGGCAUUGUGUAUAUGGUCAAAUAUUUAAUAUUCAUGCUUUGAAAUCUAGGCGUUAGUUAAUAUCUAUUUGUAGCAAAUGUUUUGAUUUGAAUGUAUGGAUUUUUUGGUGGGCUGUAGUUGUCACACAAGAUGUUUGAUCAAAUGCCUGGUACAGAUUUACUUUCUUGGGACUCUUAAUUAAAACGUUAUGUAAUCGGUGAACAGUUAAGAAGAGAGAUGAUAAGGAUGGAGAGAAAGAGAGUUGUUUGAUUGUUUUGGAGAAAACAGAUAGAGAGGAGAUAGAGAGGGUUGUUUAGUCCUCUGCAUGUUUGUUGUUGAUGGUGCAUUGGUAUGGACGGAGGAAGAGAUUGACAACGUUAUUUUAGUAUUUUUAUUACUAAAUAUCAAGGUAUUUUUCGUCAUUUCCCGUGAUUUUAACAACAAAUUUUGACAAUUUGGACGGAAUGACUAAAUAGUCUAAUAUGGUUAAUCCUCAGGAAUCAUUAAUUAAUAUUGUUAAACUGCAGGGACGAGUUAAUAAAUUUAGUCAAACGUCUGGGGGAUGAUAUAAUUAUUUUUUCAAUUAUUAAUUACAUUAUUUUUGGAUCACUUCCAAUGUCAAUAAAAUUAGGCAGGUUUUUCGCUCUUGGUUUAUUCGGAUUUCUCAUAUUUUUAUGUAAUAAAUUUUGGUCAAAUACGAAAAAUUGUCUACGAAAACUUUUUCUAUGAAAACUUGUCUGUCACAUAACCCAAUCCUUUUGUCUGUCGCUCUCUUAUCUUUACCAAAACUAUUUCCAUUGGUUAACAUGAUUCCAUUUUUAGACUUUCGACAGCAAUCAACGCUUAUGGUUAAAUAACUUCCAGCCAUCAUUGACAAUGAUCGAAUUACCCAAAAUUUAUUCAAAAUCUGGAGGAAAUAUAUCUUAGAAUUUUGGGGAAUAUUUUUGCACCGCUUUUAUAAUUUUUCGGGCAGAGGAAUAUUUAUCGAAUAUUUAUUUAUUUUUUAAUUCAGGGCUAAAUAAGGUGUAAAUAAAAGAUAACGUGCUAUUAGAUGUCACCAGGUAAACAAUCUAUCAUUUUCGAAAAGGUAUAAAAUCACUCGUGGUUUAGAAACUGUUCUGCAAAAUUACCUGUUUUAAUAUCGUUUAGUUGUUUGAUGUUUGAGUAACUUUUCAUAAAACGCUAAAUGUUAAACGUUACAUGAGUUAAUUUUUUAUAAAACGUUACCUUAACUUUUAGAAGUUACUUCAAACGUUAAGUUAUCGAACACUAUAAAAAAAUAGUGUUUAGUGUUUUGACUAAAAAUUAUUUAAAAAGUUAUUACCGAACAUAGAUUUAGAAUUAUAUGCCGGCAAAGUAGACGGGUAAGUGGUUGUGCAAAUUUGAUUAAUCCAAUAUAAACUUGUCAAAAAUAUAAUACCCCUUAACCUUGUUAGCAAUUUCUUCUGCAGAAGGGCGGACAAACGCCUAUAAAAGCGUUUGUAUUAGAAGUAAAAGGGUUCGUCUUGGUCCCUAUAUAUACCCAUGUAUUUGAAGUUUUAUGAUAUAGUAGAACACCACAAAUUAAGUUUUUCUUUCCUCUUCCUUAUAAUUCUAACAAAGGGCUUAGACCAUUGGUUAUUUGGCUUUAGGAGACAUAAAUGGCUUCUCAUUUCAAUUCCUUCGUUUUACAAACCGAUUUCUAGUCUGGUCUGAUAUGGUUCUAUUUUUUUCUGCAAACUGGACAACUUUAAUUUUAAACACAAAAAGUUAAAAGUUUUAUUCUAGAAAAAUGGAUCAAAUGGCUGAGACGUAAAAUCUUUUUCAAAAAGUCAUUGGUUUAAAUCUUGAAAUCCACAAUUUUUUUCUUUAAAAAAUCAUACCUUGAAAUCCACUAACUUCUUUUUUUUUUUUUAAAAAAACAUUCCCUGAUAUCCUCCAAAAUCUUUUUUUUUUUUUAAAAAAACAUUCCCUGAUAUCCUCCAAAAUCUUUUUUUUUUUUUAAAAAAACAUUCCCUGAUAUCCUCCAAAAUCUUUUUUUUUUUUUAAAAAAACAUUCCCUGAUAUCCUCCAAAAUCUUUUUUUUUUUUUAAAAAAACAUUCCCUGAUAUCCUCCAAAAUCUUUUUUUUUUUUUAAAAAAACAUUCCCUGAUAUCCUCCAAAAUCUUUUUUUUUUUUUUAAAUUUCAAAAAUAAAAAGGUCAAAAAAUUACAAAUUACUGAUAAAUGGCCUAACCAACAAUUCACUAACUUUCAAUUUCAGUCUAAAUGACCUUUGUACCUUGGACAUCCUGAACUUAUCAAUUCAGUUGUAAUUACACUCUAAUUUGCUUUUAGGUUACAAUUGCUCCCUAAAAGUGAAUUAAAGCACCAUGAACUUAUCGAUUUGUUGUAAUUUCACCCUAAAAACAAAUUAAGGUUGAAAUUAUAAACUAAGACAAUAUAAAGAUGGACUCCAUAACCAAUCCAAACUUAGUGCAGUAUAUAAUAUUUGAAUUAAAAGAAAGAAUUUAUAAUUUUGCGUCUUUUGUCCUUCGACUUAUUGUCUUUUUUCCUUGUAGGAAAUUAAAUAUCGGCUGCAACGACAAUGAUAAAAAAAUCUCCAUAUUUUUCUCACCAUCCUAGAAAGUGUAACCUUGAAUUAGUAUCCAACUCAUUACUUUUGCAUCUUAAAAUUUGUUUAAUUUUAAAAUUAAAGAUGCAAUCUUGAUUUUUUUUUCGAAUUAUAUGAAUACUUGCAUUUUUUUUAUUUAUUGUUUAAAACACUUGAAUUGGUUAUAGACUCUAUUUUUUAUACGUUUUAAUUGUAAUUCCAAUCUUAAAUUUAUUUUUAGGAUGAAAUUAUAACAAAUCGAUAAGUUCAGGGUGCUCUAAUUUACUUUUAGGAUGUGAUCAACAAAUUGAUAAGUUCAUGGUACUGUAAUUCACUUUUAGGGUACAACCCUAAGCAAAUUAAGGUAUAAUUGCAACUAGAUUGAUAACUUUAGAGUGCUCAGGAUAUAAAGAUUGAUUUAGAAUGAAAUUGCAAUUACUCAAAAAGUUCAAGGUGAAAUUGUUUGUUAGGCCCAAAACAAUAGUCUAAAUUUUCUUAAAAAUCAACUUUAAUAUGGUGUAACCAAUUUCUAAAAAAUUCUUAUUUUGUAACUAAUAGUUAUUUUUUAAUUUAUUUAAUAAAAUAAUAAAAUUUUAAGUUAAUUAGCACACAAAUACUUUUAUAUUUUAUAUGAUUUAUGAAUGAUUUAAAUAUUACAAUAACAUCAUAUGUAUUUUACACAAAUAUGAUCAUUGUGUGUAUUUAUGCAAGCUACAAAAAGAGCAUACAUGUCAAAGGUUCCAUAUGCGAAUACUAUUGAUAGUUGAUGUAUGUUAUAGUGUGUACAAGGCCUGACAUUUCGCAGGCAAUUGAAUUUGUGAGCAGGUAUGUGAAUGAUCCUACUAAGGAGAAUUGACAAGUUAUAAAAUGGAUUCUAUGAUACAUUCUGAACAUCAGGGAUGUUGGACUGAUCCUUGAAUAGGAUAAAGAAGUCAAUCAAUGUGCAGUUGGUUACUGUGAUUCUGAUUAUGCUAGUGAUUUGGAUAAACGUUGGUGAACUAUUGGCUAUAUAUUUACUCUUACUAAAGCACCGAUGAGUAGAAAGUCUACUUUACAGUCAAUACAAAGGCAUAUUAUAUGGUAAUUACAAGGCUAUUAAGGAGGCAUUUUGACUUCAAGAAUUGCUUAUUGAAUUGAGAGUUAGACAAAAGCACAUAAAAGUGCAUUGUGACGAUUAGAGUGCUAUUCAUUUAAUAAAGAAUCAAAUUUAUCAAGCAAGGCCGAAGCUUAUUGAUGCUCGAUAUCCCUUUGUGCUAGAGAUUUUAGAAGAAGGUGUUAUACUGUUUGAAAAGAUCAUGACAAAUAGAAAAUCAUGCUGAUAUGAAGACAAAAGUAGUGAUCCAUUUUUCAUGAUGUUAUACACGGAUCAAAUAUAUCAUGGCAAAUUUUUUAGAAAAAAUCGACCAUCAAGUUCAAAAAUUGUUUAAACUUGUUUGAACUUGAUAAAUAACAUUGAAAAUUGAAGUUGCACUUUAUGUGCAUUUUGAAGACACUACAUCAUUGUGAGAGAAUUGAAAGAUUGUAACUAAGGAAAUUUCACCAACGUGGCGAUUUUUUGGCAUAUGUAGCUCAAUCUCACAUUGGUGGGCAUAAAAGGUGAGGCGGUAGCUUCGACUAUAAAACUAACCCCUCCCAAUUAUUGAUAUACCAUCUGCAAAAGCCAUCUGUUUUUUACAUAGACAUUUGGCUUAGCUAUCUCUUUUCUCCAUUUGUAAUAUUUCUUUUGUUAGUGAAAUAUUAUUUGGAUAGUGUCAGAGGACAUAGGCAAAUGAAUGAACCUCAUUAAAUUUGAUGAGUUUUCCUUUUUGUCCAUUUUAUAGUUUAUCUUUGUGCAUUUUAUUUUAUAAUUUUUUUAUUGGUGUGCAUAGUGAUAUAUUGUGCUAUUAAUUAUAUGCCUAGGUUAUUGAAUUUUAAGUGGGAUUGCUUGUGACCCAUCCAAUCAUUUAGAAAUUUAUUUGGUGUAACUUUUCUUUUUGCAAAAACAAGAAAUUAUUAUUAUCAUAAAAUAAGAGUACAAGAGGUGAAGUUAUCAAGUACUACCAAGAGCAUAUAAGAUUUAUUUAGAAAGAAAACAUGGUUGUUAAAAUAGUAUAUGUUUAAGGGAAGGGAGAAUAACCCAUUGGCAACUGCUAUGCUAUGGUGCCAAGCUUCCUUUACGAUGAUCGUCCAAAGUUUAGAUUUGAUCUUUGACAAACAAAAUCUAGUGCAUAAAUCCAUCUUGAUGUGGAGAAUUUACCAGUUCUCCUUUAUAUCAAGCCACUUCCAUGUAAGAUUCUUAUCAAGACCUUCCUUAAGUGUGACAUCCUACUGAAUUGAGUUGUUUCAUUUAGCAAGUCGAGUCGAGUCGGAACGAACCAGAACACGGUUCAAGCCAUAAAAAUUAAAUAAAUCAAAGACUUGGACUUAAUUGAAUGAAACAUAAAGAUGUAGACUCAAUUGCAAUAAAAGUAUAAGGAUUAGGACCUAAUUCAAAUAAAGUAUAAAGUUUAGGUAUUAAAUGGUAAAAUAUUGAAAAUUUAGGUACUAUUUGGUAAUUUUGUAACAAACUAGAAGAUAUAUUUGGAGGUUACCCGAAAAUUCCAUUCACUUUACCUUCUCCAUCUUCUCCUUUGUCUUCUUCCUUCACUUUACCUUCUCCAUCUUCUCCUUUGUCUUCUUCCUUCACUUUACCUUCUCCAUCUUCUCCUUUGUCUUCUUCCUUCACUUUACCUUCUCCAUCUUCUCCUUUGUCUUCUUCCUUCACUUUACCUUCUCCAUCUUCUCCUUUGUCUUCUUCCUUCACUUUACCUUCUCCAUCUUCUCCUAAAUCUUCGUCCAUUUUCUACCUUAAUAUUCAACCUUUCAAGCAUCAAAUUCAAUCUAUAUCUCUAUCCAAGUAAGUUGAAUUUCUUGAAUUGCAUAAUUUUGCAUAAUUUAGGGAGAUUUUGGAUGAUUAAUAAGAUGUUAUUAUGUAUAGGAGAGGUGAGAUCAAAGUGAGAAGAAAAAGGAAGCUAAGAAGAAGGUUUAAAGCUUUUUGGUUAAAGGUUUGAUAUCUCUGUUAGUUUAACAAAUUUUCUUGCAUGAGAAUAUGUGUAGUGUGAUGAUAGUGAUAAGAUAUGUUGCUGCAUGUUGAGUAAUAGGUUUGAGAAGGUUGAUUAUGCAUGGGAUGCAUUGAAUAAAUGAAUUGGAUAUUGAUUUCAUGCUGUAAUAGGUUUGUUCGAAAACUGACCAGUAAAUUCAACCAGAAUUUGAACUUGUUUACCGAUGGAAUUAGGAAGUGGUAUAGAAGAGUUAUUUUUUCCUUUAUGUUUUAGCUGUCUAUGAGCUUUGGAAUCACCUAAAUUGGACUUAUAAAUUGAAAGAUAUGCCCAAAAUAGUACAAACUNNNNNNNNNNNNNNNNNNNNNNNNNNNNNNNNNNNNNNNNNNNNNNNNNNNNNNNNNNNNNNNNNNNNNNNNNNNNNNNNNNNNNNNNNNNNNNNNNNNNNNNNNNNNNNNNNNNNNNNGAAUUUAGAAUCACCUAAAUUGGCCUUAUAAAUUGAGAGAUAUGACCAAAAUGGUACAAACUGUGCAGGCUGGAAACCAACAGCCGGGCAGACUAGAAGUUGCUACUUUAAUUCAAUAUUUGACUACUUUACCAACAUAUUUCAGAGAGGUUUUGUACCCUAAUGUGUUAGCUAACCAUAGAAUUUAGAGUCACCUAAAUUGGCCUUAUAAAUUGAGAGAUAUGACCAAAAUGGUACAAACUGUGCAAGCUGGAAACCAACAGCAGUGCAGACUGGAAGUUGCUACUUUAAUUCAAUAUUUGACUACUUUACCAACAUAUUUCACGGAGGUGAUAAAAGACAUAUUUGUACCCUAAUGUGUUAGCUAACCAUAGAAUUUAGAAUCACCUAAAUUGGCCUUAUAAAUUGAGAGUUAUGCUAGAAUUUGUGAAACAUGUAUAGGCUGCCCUGACACAUUAGAAAUGCUGUUGGAAUGCAUAUGUAGAUUCAUUCAGCCUAAGAUNNNNNNNNNNNNNNNNNNNNNNNNNNNNNNNNNNNNNNNNNNNNNNNNNNNNNNNNNNNNNNNNNNNNNNNNNNNNNNNNNNNNNNNNNNNNNNNNNNNNNNNNNNNNNNNNNNNNNNNNNNNNNNNNNNNNNNNNNNNNNNNNNNNNNNNNNNNNNNNNNNNNNNNNNNNNNNNNNNNNNNNNNGAUAUUACUUGUAGUUGUCUAUGAAAUCCUUUUAAAGCAUGAAACAAGUUAGCGACGUAUAGAAUGAGACAGCAUACAGGUAAACAGUAUGGUUUAUGCAUUUUAAGAACAAUACAGAUAAUACGCUCCACUGAGGUUAGGUAGAAACCACGUAGAUAAGGCUAUGUCGCGACAUAGGAUAGUAGAUCUGCGUCCCAUGCAGUUUGGUACUCCGGCUAUUGGCCAUUGAGUGGAUAUGAUUUAUAUACGGGUUAUAGCAACCCAGCCAUACAGUAUUCAUCCAGUUUCAUACAGUACUUCUUAUCACCUUGGUUUCACUGUAACUUUAUGGAGCCAUACAGUUAUAAAAUUGUGUUAUUUAUAAAUUAUACGAUGUUUAAUAAAAAUUUCAUAAUUCAUACAGUAUAAUGAACACCAGGUAAGACCAUGAAAGUAUAAUGAUAUGUGUGCUUACAUGCUUAAUUAUUUAAUUCUUAUUAAGUUGAGAUAUCCACUGAGCUUCAUUUGCUCAGUGAGUUACCUGUUUUAACUCGCAGGUUUUGGGUCUGGACCGUAGAGAGUCAUCUUUACAACUGCUGCAGUUCAUCUUUUGAAGACCCAGUCUUCAGGGUAACUACUCAUUUUGAUAUUUUGGUUCUGUGGCAUGUACAUGGCACAUAGUUGGGCCCAUUUCAUUUUGAAAAAUAGUGUAAUGUCUUGUAUAUAUUACAUCAAUGUCUGUAUAUAAAUGAUGUAUAAAGCAACAACAUGACAUAAUAUUUAGCAUACAGGAUGAUAUCAGCAUGACAUGACAUAGGUUCAACCAGAUUGUAGCGUCUCGGCUCGGUUCAUUCGGGUUCACGGGUGGACCGGGAAGGGAUGUUAAUUAAGUGAUUGCCCCAAACUGAGAAGAUGAGGAGACCUUAAGUAGAAACCAAAAGUAAGAAAUAAAUCCGUGGAGUUUGUCUCGAGAAACAAGGCAAAUAUAUAUAAGGGAUUGGGCCCAUAAAGGCAACAAAGAAGAGAAAAAAAAAAAAGCUAACAAAAAAGGAAGAGACGAAAAGAGGGUCACCAUCGGCUAAAUAGCUAUUGUUGGUGACCAUCCAAACGAGAAAAACAAAUGAGCUUUGGUUUUUUAGAGGGAAGGAGGAGAGUUUUUUUUUUUCUUUUUUUUUAAUUUAAGGAUUCAACUUUGGUGUAAUUUUUUAGUAUAAUUGUUCACGUGCUAUACACAUAUUGGUGAAAAAUACUAUUCACCUGAAUCUAAAUAGCAUCCUAAUGUAUAUAUCUCAAUAAGCCAUUAUAUUUUAUAACUUAAAAAUUAAGUUAGGGUAUCUAAUAGAUUAAAAGUAAUAACUUUUUACUUAUUACUUGCCCUUCAACAAUAGGAAAAAACAAAACCCUCUUUUUCUCUAGUAAAACGAAAAAAUAAUCUCAAAUCAUGUUCUUCAAUCAAGAAUUAAGAAGAUAAUACCAACAAUGAAGAAUUUGUAUGUCUCCUAUUCCCUUUUAAUCUAUUUUAUUAUUCUUAUUUUUGUUUCUACAAGAGAUAUAUAUGAUUCUAAAUUUGUUUAGUUAUGAAAUUUAAGUUUAAAAAUAGAAUUUGAAUACCAAAACCUUAUUUGAGUUCUUAUGUUUCAUUAGGUGAAUCUAGAAUUGAAUGUCACCUUGGUUUUUUUAAUUAAAAACUGCAAAUUGAAAAGCUUUGUCAAUUUCUUUUUUUUUUUCUUUUUGUUUCAUCACAUAUAUACGAUUCUAUAUUUAUUUAGUUAUAAAAUUUAAGUUAAAAAUAGAAUUUGAGUACCAAAACCUUAUUUGAGUUAUUGUGUCUAAUUAGGUGAAUCUAGAAUUGAACAAUAAACUUUAUUUUAUUACCCUUAAUAGGGAUAAUUGCAAUUUUAGUGUAUGAACUUUUAAAAAAUUUCCAUUUUGGUGUAUGAAUGGAAAAAGUUUACAAUUUGGUGAAUCAACUCCUACAAUUUUAACGAUUAAGUGAAUUUUGCAUAAGUGGACAAUCAGAAAUCCUUGUAGAACGAUUAGACCCCACAUUAUCAAUUAUGUGUCGUUGACUGCGAGCUAAUUAAGAUGCCAUAUGAAUUGCCACCUAGAUUAGAUGCACUGUAAGCAAGAAAUGAGUCAUUUACCCUUUCUCUAUCUCACCCUCCUCUUCCUCUCUCUCUCUCUCUCUCUCUCUCUCUCUCUCUCAAACAAUCAUCAAAAGGAAAACCUUAGAAAUGGAUAUGGAAAAAAUCCUAAGUUAUUACAUAAGAUUACAGUGCAAAAGUCUAGGGAUUUUAUGAAUCAAAAUCAGCAUAUUGAGAAGGUAAUUGAAAAACAAUAUUGUCAACAAAUUGAAAAUAAUCGCCUAAGAUUAAAAGUCUCACGUGAUGCUGUUAGAUGUUGACAUUCCAAGCAUGUGCUCUAAGAGGUCAUAAAGAAAGCUCCAAUUCAAAAAAUAGGGGGUAUUUCAUUGAACUUGUUAAACUUUUGAGUUUUUAUAAUGACAAAAUGGAAUCGGUAGUUUCAGAAAAAUGCUCCUCAAAAUGCAUCUUACAUUUCGCCCAAAGUUGAAAAACAAAUUUUACAUGUCAUAUCUAAUGAGAUUCGACAUGCAAUCCGUGAUGAGAUUAAUAAUGAGAAGUUUUGCAUUAUUAUUGAUGAGGCUCGUGAUGAAUUAAAAAAGGAGCAGAUGGUCAUUAUGUUGAGAUUUGUUGAUAAAGAUGGCUAUGUACAAGAGCAUUUUUUUGAACUAGUUCAUGUCCUUGAUACUGGUGCUUUAACUUGAUACUAUUACAAGAAAUUUUAGAUGUCCUUGCUAGGCACAACUUGAAUAUAAAAAAUAUUCGGGGUCAGGAUUAUGAUGGAGCUAGUAAUAUACGUGGGGAGUGGUCUGGACUAUAAGCUUUAUUUUUGAGUGAAUGUCUAUAUAACUAUUACAUACAUUGUUUUGUUCAUCGAUUCCAAUUAGCAUUGGUUGCAGCAUCUAGAAUGGUAAUUUCAAUUCUUCAAUUUUUUUCUAAAUUGACUCUCAUCACCAAUGUUGUUACUUCCUCUUUUAAAAGGCAUGAUCAAUUGCAACCUGCCCAAAUUGCUGAACUAGAGAAAUUGAUUACUCAUGAUGAACUUGAAACUAGUAAAGAAUUAAAUCAAAUUGGUACUAUAGAAUGGGCUGAUGAUACUUGAUGGAGUUCUCACUUAAGCUCUUUAGAAGCUUAAUGAAUAUGUUUGAAGCAACUUGUUUAGUUUUGAAAACUAUAAUUGCUGAAGGGACUACUUAUAGCUAAAGGGGAGAUGCUGAUUACGCUUUUAAUACUAUCAAUUCUUUUGAAUUUAUGUUUAUUUUACAUCUUAUGAAAGAGAUACUUGAGAUCGCACAUGACCUUUGUCAAGCCUUAUAAUGCAAGAUAUUCUGAGUGCAAUGUGUUUAAUAUCAACAACAAAAAUGUCGAUUCAGAAAAUGAGAGAAAGUGGAUGAGAUUCACUGUUUAAAAGUGUCUAAUUUUUCUGUGAGAAACAUGAAGUUGAUAUUGUUGGCUCAAGGGUCAAUUUUUAAUCUCAGAUCUUGAUGAUUAAUACAAAACGAAUAAAUUUAAAAUUAUGUUAUUUGUGCUAAUUUUAUUUUUAUGCAGAAUUUUUUUGGAGAGAUAAUCAUACAAGGCAAAUCCUACUUUGAGUGUGAAGAAUUCGAAGACCUAGUAGCUAGGUAUUUAGGAAUACUUUGUAGGAUAGAGAGAAAUUCCAUAUAUGAGCACAAAAAUCCUUUUAUCUCUCAAAAAUAUUUUUCGGAAAAUUAGUUUUCUUUAAAAUAAUCUAUUUUCGAAAAUAUUCCUUCAAAUCGAAAAGAUUUAUUUUCCUAAAACUAAAGAAAUUUCUUCUCUAAUGUUUUUGGUAAUAAAAUCAUUCACCUUUUCGGAAAUAUAUUUUGCAAGAUCUAGAGCAUUUUAAAGUUAUUUUCUUACCAUAAAAAUGAAGGAAAAUCUCUUUCGGUUUUGGUAAGUGCAUCUUUCCGCAAAUAAUUUUUUCUCCACAAAUAAAUGCUGUCGAACAACUUUUCUAAAGGAAAGUGAAAAUCGGAUUUUAUUCUAUUACCAAAAAGGAUAAAAUAAUUUUUGGUAACAAAGAUUUUCAGAUCUUCUAAACAAGGAAAGAAGAUAUUCUGAUCUCUUUCCAAAAAGCGACAGCUCCUUCGUUUUCUAUAUAAAGGAACGUUCACACCUUAAUCAUUUGGUGAAGUAAGAGUAUUUGUUUUAAGAGCACUCUCUCUUGAUCAAAUCUUUAUCUCUCAAAACUUACUCUCUACCCCCAUUUUCUUUUCAUCUCUACUCUUAACGUUUUCAAUAUUUAAAGUGAAAGUUUUUUUACAAUUUCUUUUUGAAAAACAAUUCUGUGUUCUAAUCGAUCUUCUAAUCUAAUAAGAUUAUUUUUUCUGUGCUUAUAUAGGCGUUUCCUUCUGUCUAUUUAGAAUCUGUAUUCUAUAGUAGAUAGGCUCUUUAUUUGUGAAACUUUUGAGUGUAAUAGCUUAGGUUAGAAGCUAUUGAGAUAGAGGUUAUCAAGCGACCUUCUCCAUGUGUGGGAUAGUAAUGUCUUGAAUCGAGUUUUCUGUACUCUACCAAAAACAGAAAGGGUUGAGGUUAACUAGAACCUUUGGAAAAUCUAGUGGGACAAAAAGGGUAGAUCUAGGUUGUUGAUCUAUUUGCCUUGUACUGUUGGUUUGUCUCUUACCCUUUAAAAGAGAUAACUUAGUGGAGGAUCUCAAGAUGAGUCUUGGGGAGUGGAUGUAGGCGAGUUAGUGCCGAACCACUAUAACUCUCGGUGUUGAUCUCUUUAUUUCUGAAGUUUGGUUGAUACUGUCUCNNNNNNNNNNNNNNNNNNNNNNNNNNNNNNNNNNNNNNNNNNNNNNNNNNNNNNNNNNNNNNNNNNNNNNNNNNNNNNNNNNNNNNNNNNNNNNNNNNNNNNNNNNNNNNNNNNNNNNNNNNNNNNNNNNNNNNNNNNNNNNNNNNNNNNNNNNNNNNNNNNNNNNNNNNNNNNNNNNNNNNNNNNNNNNNNNNNNNNNNUGGUUUUGCAAACUUUAUGAGGAAGUUCUAAGUUCAAUAACUUUCCUUCAUAAAGAAGCUCUGAUAUUGUACAAGUCAGUGUGAAGCUGUUCUAAUCAAUAGCUGCACUUUGCACAGACUUUCUAUAUCUGAAAUUAGAACAUUGUGAGGAGAUUCUAAUCCAUAUUCUACUCUCACAAAGUUCUGUGUGUUUUUCCGCUGCACUUAGAAUUCUAAUUCUUGUUUAGAAUUUCUAAAAUUUAUUUCAGUUUUUAGAAAACCCAAUUCACCCCCCCUAUUGGGUUGUGCCAUACACAUUCGGGACCCACAGAUAUCCCUAAUAUGAAUGCUCAUUAUAAUUCUAGUCGAGCUAGAACCCGCAAUCAAAAAGACCCAAUUACAUUUUAGCAUUAUUUUCGAGUUGAUACAUUCAUUGCUAUCAGUGACUUGUUAGAAAUUUUAAUGGGGGCUACUAUUAAUAGUGGGCUAUUUUAGUUUGUGAAAACGGACUGGAUAAAUACAGUUUAAGAAUAUGUAUGUGGAGCCCAAUUUGUGUUUAUGUGAUCACUUAUGUAAUGGGCUUGUACACCUCUAGUGGGCCAGUAUGGUAAGGCGGUUAAAAGUGUAGGCCUAAUCCUAUAAGGAUUUGUGAUGGGAAGGUUCAUAAGAUUUUAUAUAAAUAGGCUAGGUCCCUUCUCAUUCCUUAACCCUACUAUUGACUAGUCUCAUUGAAAAGCCUCCUUGUGAAUAAGAAAACGGAGAGGAAGAUCUAGUCCCUCUUUUACAAAUUCUGAUUUAGUGUUUGAGCGUCUUGAUUGCAGAUAAUCUUAAAAGAAGAACCGUGAACUCUAUUUUAAAUCACAAAUCAGGUACGCAAAUUGCUUCGGCUUAAUAUUUAUUUGGUGUUCUAAAUUUAUAUACUAGAUUCAUUAAUUUUCUUACAUGACUCACAAUUGCAAAAAUUGAAUGUUAGAUUUAAGGCAGAUUUGAUGGAGUUGUUCAUUCUUAGCUCCUCUUUAGAUCUAAGGGAUGGUUUCAAGUCAUUUAAAAUUGAUGAUGUCUACAGCCUUGCGAAUAAGUUUUAUUUUGAAGAUUUUUUAGAACAAGGAAGAUUACAUUUAAGAUAUCAAUUGGAACUUUUUGUACUUGAUGUUCUACGUUAUCCUAAGAUGCAAUCGCUAUCAACUAUCUCUAAAUUGUGACAAUAUUUAGCUAAAUCAAAGAAGGCAACUAUUUAUCCUCUUAUUGAUAGGUUGGUUAGACUUGUUUUGACUCUUCUAGCCUCAACAACAACUACUGACCAUGGUUUCUCGGCUAUGAGUCUUAUAAAGAAUAAGCUUCGUAAUAAGAUGGCAUAUGAUUUUCUUGCAAAUUCCUUGAUUAUAUAUAUUGAGAUAGAUAUAGUUGAUACUUUGAGUAUCAAUUUUAUAAUUGAUGAGUUUUACACCACGAAAGAGCGACAGGUGUAGCUCAAGACGCGAGAAGACAUCAAGUAUAAAUAUACAAGAUAAAUUGUAAUCUUAGAUGUCUAUUUGAAUUUUCUUCUAUUUUCUUUUAUUAUUCGUUUCGCUAUGUCAUUUUUUUUCUUAUUAUUCUUAUCAGAUUUUUUUCAUUUAACAUGCCAUACUUAAUAUAGUAGGAUAAGAAUUAAAGGAAUCCAUUUGAUUGAUUGUUGUUUUGAAACCCCAUGCUAAGUUUUUUCUGGCUUAAUUAUCAAUGAAAAAAAAAAAUAUUAUCUUCACCCCCAAUCUAAAUUUCUGGCUCGCGCUGUUAAAAAUAGUCAGUUUCUGCAACAUUUGUUAGACUGGGGACCAAAAAUUAGUCCAAGGGGUAAAAAACUUAUUGCCUCGUAGCCAUAGGUUGAUUACGAAUACUGAAAAUCCGUCCAAUCAUGCACUGCGCCACCUUCACAAGUGUAAAGAUUGUGGCCUCAAAAUAGAGUGAUCCCACAAAUAUCUACCUGCCAUUUCCGCAAUUAUUGCUUGGAUAACUCUAAAUAUUCAAUUUGGCUCCUUCUCCUGCAAAAGUUAAUACGUGUCCAUAUCUGAAUCUACUCAUACGUGGGGGCAAACCAAUUAAUAAAAUGAUCAAAUUACUUUAAAUUUAGCCUUGUUUGCUGAUAAAUUUAUUAAUUUUUAAAAUUAUAUUAAAUAAGUGUAUUUUUUUUUUUAGAAAAUAAGUGUAUUUUUUUUAAUUCUUAAUCUACAAUUGUAGUUUUUACAUCUCAACUCAUUCAUCUCACGUGCAUAUAUUCAUUGGAGAUAAGUGUAAUUAUAGUAUAUUAUAUUUGACUUAUCUAAAUAUAAUUCUAAAAUAUACAUCUAGACAUAACAUAAUGAUAAAUGCAUUUACAAUCUAAUAGCUGUUCAAGUUCGAAUCUCCUUCUCCAAUACUCAAUAUAUAUAUAUAUAUAUAUAAAUGAAAUAUUUACUUGAAUUAUUGAUUACCGUUUGUAUCCGCUUAAGUAUAUUGAAUUUUAAACAAAUUACUCCUACUAGCUUUUAUUUUUUUUAUUUUUUAAAGGCAGACUAAUUUUUAAUUAGUUAGUUUAAUCCUAUCGUCUUAUAUAAAUAAAUUUUUAUAAUAGUACAUGCCAUAUAAAAGAUAAUAAUUAUUAAACUCAUUUUUAUUCAAAAUCGAAAUUACAAUAAUUAAAUCAUAAUAAAAAAUUUUCAAUUAUAUAAUAGUAAUGAUAAUAGUCAAAAAUCAUUGAGAGCUUAUAGGAUAUUAUUAACAGAAAUAUAUUUUACUUAAAUUUUAAUUUAAAAAAAUAAACUUUUUUUUUUGUCAUCGCUGAAAUAUUUGUUAAGUUUUUUCCUUUUUAUUAUUAUUAUUAUUAUUAUUAUUAUUCUCUAAUAAAAGUAAUUUGAUUACUGACAAAAAACAAAUUUAUAGGCAUAAAGAGUAUAUGAUUUCCAUUAAUUAUUUUUGAAAGACUUUUUAAUUUUAAUUGAUUCCUUGAUUUUUUUCUUAAUGCAUUCCAACUAAAAAAGGACAUAGGAUUUAUUAAAUGCAUAAAUGGUAUUGUCAAUAUGUCUGGUGAGGUCCAGCAUUCUGGUCACCAAAAUAUCAAUGUCUGUCUUCCCUCACUGGCUUUACUUUAUAUAUUAGUUUUUAUUUUACCUCUCAGCCUGGAUAAAAAAAUUUUGUGGCACUCUGAAUUAUAAAAUUGAUUUUAUCUUAAAUUCAAUUUUUUUUAAUAAUUUCAUACUUCUCUAUACUACAAACAGUAAAUUUUAAAGUUUUUUGGCUUUCAUAUAUAAAAUAUUAACUCGAUACGUGGUUAAUAACUUUUGGAAUAAUAAUUUUAUAUUUUUUUUACUUUUUAAUAGGUGUUUAAUUGAUCUAAUUUUAUAAGUUGAAGUAUUCAACUGAUCAAAUAAGUAUUUAACAAGAAUAAUUUUAUAAGUUAAAGUGUUUAACUGGUCAAAACAAAAGUUGAGGGUGUCACAAUUUUUAUAAAAAGUAUAAAAAUAAAUUUAUGUAUUCAACUGUUUUUAUUUGUUAAAAAAUUCUAAAAUUUUUGUUUUUUAUUUUUGCCCAAAAUUUAAGUAAAUCAAUUUUAUAAGAUGAAAUUUGAAUCUUAAAUUGAGGAAAGGGUGAUUUUUUUUAAUCAAAUUAAAUAUUCUACAUAAAUUUUUGAUUCAUUAGAAGUUCAACCAAGCGAAAAACACGACAUAAUAAAUAUAGUUUUCUCUUGAUGCAUCAAAUUAAUUAAAACUUUUAUAGCCGACCGACCGGACUCCAGACUUCAAAAUUUCUUACUCCUGAGACGACGGAGGGAGAAGGGCUAGGUGGCCACCCUGGCUUUGAUAAAUGUUUUUAGUACAUCGUCUUUGCGCAAAACUCUUUGCUAUCUUAGUUGCCCUGAUGCUUUCACUCAAGUCAUUGGACUUGAGUUUGACCCUCAAUUUAAAUAAGAUUUUAUUUUAUAGUUAUAUUUUUAGUUUGUUUUUAUAAAUCGUAACAAAAUAACCGUAUUCCUCUAUAUUUGUAUUUUUUAUUUUGGGAUAGUUCAUUUAUAAAAGCUAUCCACGAAAAAGUAAAUAUUUGAUUUGAAAACUAAUGCUCCGUUUGUUUUUGUAAAAUAACUUAUAUGAAAAUAACUUGUUGAAAAAUAUUUUCUAUGAAAAAUAUUUUUCAAAUGACUUAUUUUCCGUUGUUUGGUUAUAAUUUUAAAAAUUAGUUACAAAUAUUAAAAUUUUUCUUAUAAGACCAUAAAAAAUAUUAAUAAUAAUAUUUAAAAAUUUUAUUGUUAAAUAUGAGAAAAAUGUAAAAAAUAUAUAUAUAUAAAUUAUGAAAGCCGCUGGUAGCCGGUGGCUGGUGGUGGUGCCUGAUGGUGGUAGCUGGUAGUGGUGGUCGGUGGUAAAUGAUGACUGAUUGGACUUACUACGAUGAUUAAUAAAUUAAAAAAAAUAUGAAUUUAUAAGAUUUAUCAAUGUCUGAAAAAUAUUUUAUUCUCUCAAAAAUAAUAAGUUAUUUUUCUUAAAAAAUGACUUUAUUUUCCUUUGACCAGGAAAAUAUUUUCUGUUGUCAUUAAAUAUUUUUAUCAUUAAUUUUAAAUUAAAGAGAACAACCAACAAGUAUUUUUGGUUGUCAUUAAAUAUUUUUAUCAUUAAUUUUAAUUUUAAACUUUAUUUAAUUUUAGUUUAGGUUUGAUUUCAUUCUAUGAAUGUACAAAACUUCAUAUAAAUAUUGAAAUAUACAAUAGCGUUAUAAAUUUAUAAUUCAAUUCAAUUAUUUAUUGUUGGUCAUGUAGAUAAAACUUAACAACUUGAAAAAAUUUUAGAAUUUUAAAUUCAUUGAGUAAACACAUGAUAUUUAAUUUAUUCAUUUAUUCAGUGAGAUGGAUUUAAUAUUAUAGCUCAUAAUUCUUUUUAAUAUUUUAAAAUUAAUAUAAAAUUAAAUUGAUCAAAUUUUAAAUUUAUUCAAAGUUGAUUUUUUUUUUACUAUAAAUGAUAGUUUAUGAUGUAUUUUCAUAAUUUUAUUUGCUUUAGUAAAUAUUUUAAAAAUAGCAUUUUUAAAUUUUUUUUAAAAAAAGAAACAGUUCUUGUAAUAAUAAUUUAAAUAAAAUUAUCAAAUAAAUUCUAAUAUAUAAUUAACAUUAAUAUUUUUAAAAACUAUGUAAGUUAUAACUUCAUGUAAUUUUAUGAAAAACUAUAUAUUUUCCAUAAUAAUACAUCAAUAUCAAAUUAUAUAUAUGUUUUCAAUAUUAAACCAUUUAUUUCGAAGUAAAAUGAUGAAUACACGAAAGGCAAUAAAAAAAACAAGACAUGAACUAACUCGACCUCUUGCUCAAAAAAAUACUUUAAUUAACUUAAAAAUUACAAUAAUGUAUUUCAAAUUUUAAACACUAAUAGUUAUUUUUAUUGUAAUUUUUAGUAUGAAAAAUUUAGGAAAUCAUUGUUUCUUUUCUAUUGAAAGUUAAUAUUUAUAUCAAAUAUCUUUAUUAUUUUGUGGCUAAAAACACUAUUUUUAUUAAAAAUAUUUUUGACCAUGUGUAAUGUAUAUUUGCUUGUAUGAAAUGAUAAAAUACAUUUUUGUCCCCCAAGAAAAAAUCAUGGCUAGUUGGCAAUAUCCUAAACAAGUUGAAAGUAAAAAUUAAGUACUAUUCCAUCUAUUUAACCUAAAUACGAAUGCAUUGCAAAGAAGAGCUUUCACCAAAUAUAUUCAUACCUCAUUUGAUUUAUGAAUAUGGCUUGAGUUGAUUUUAGAUUAAUUAAUAUUAUUUUGAUGGGCAAAUUAAAUUUACUUCAACAAAUUAAUUCAAUAAUUUUUUUUUAAAAAAAUAAUAAUGCAAUAUUAAUUAACAUGGCUAAUAAACAUGCACACACAACGCACGAAAUUGGAGAAUACAAAAGUGCAACAUAGUAUAGGAUAAGCUUGCAUAUUGAUUUCUAGUCUCAUUUCCAAUUUGGUUUUUUUUUUUUUUUUUAUUAUAGUUGUGUGUGGUAACAAUUUUUUAAAUAUUUUUUUAAUAAAUAUUAUUUUUUAUAAUAUGAAGUAACAUAGCAUUUGAAAUAUUUUUUAAAAAUUAAGAUAACCCGUUGGCCGGCCCUCCCCUAGAUUUUAUAGCAUUUCUUAACAUGCCUUGAUCUCGUUAUUUUGGUCACGUGACUCCUAUUGCUCAAGUUUGAGGUACUGGGAUCAAAAUCGUGCUGGCUGAAGUUCUGUUUAUUUUUUUUUAUUUAGUUAUUUACUUAGUUCUUAUUUACAAAAAAAAAAAAAGUUUUAGUUAAUUUUUAUAUAUAUUCAAUUAAUAUAUAUAUAUAUAUAAAUUUCGAACUCGGACUCCGUUCCUGCCUAUAAGCACAUAAAAUUUCAUAAUUUUAAUAAAUUAUUUUUUGUUUCCAUUAAAUGAUUUAUAUUAUUAAUUUUCAUUUUAGGUUAUUUAAUUUUAUAUAUUUUUUUAAAUUUUAGUUUUGAAUUUGAUUUCAUUCUAUGAAUAUAUAAAAUUUACAUAAAUAUUAAAAUAUAUAAUAGUGUUAUAAAUUUUUAUUUCAAUUGUUUAUUAUUUGUUAUUUAAUUAAAAUUUAAAAAUUUGAAAAAAACUUUAGAAAUUUAAAUUUGUUGAAUAAACACAUAUGAUAUUUAAUUUAUUCAAAAAAAUAAAUUUAAUAUUAUAAUUCAUGAUUCUAUUUUAAUAGUUUUUAGAAAAAAAAAAUAUAAAAUUAAAUUGAUUAAAUUUUAAAAUCACAAUAACGUAUUUAAAAUUUUAAAUACUAAUAUUUAUUUUCACUGUAAUUUUUAAUGUGUAAAUUUUAGGAAAUUAUUUCUUUCCUAUUGAAAGUCAUUAUAUAUAUUUAAAAAAUUUUUAUUUAUACUAUUUUCAUUAAAAAUAUUUUGAUCACAUGUAUAUUUGUCCAUGUAAUUACAUUAUUUUUAGGCAUUUUUUUAUUCAGGUUUAUUUUUUAUUCACCUAUCAAGACAAAUAUAUUUUCGCCUCCCUAUGAAAAAAUAUUGCCUUCGUCAUUGCUAACCCCUAUUUAACUUUUAAUAUUUUAUGAAAAACUAUUUAAAUAGCUACUAAGACUUGAACAACUACUGACACUUAAACGCUAAUAAAAUAACUAAUUUCCUGAACAUACUCUACCUUGAUGUUUUUUAAUUCUAGCAUCUAGGCAUAAUCACGGUUCCAGAACCGCUGGUUUCGAUUUUUAAACCGCUGGUUUCAGUUUCAGAAAAGAUGAAACCAAAACUAAACUACUUUUAGACGGUUUUAAAGACGAUUUUAAGACCACCAGUUCCGGUUCAGUUUCGGUUUGAAACCGAAUUUGGAUAACUUUUUUUAACCUUUUUAAUUCUUUUUAGCUAAAUAAGAAAAUUAAUAACAAAUAACAAUAUUAAAUUAAAAAAAGACUAAAAUAGUAAAUUAAUAGUUUUAAAAUUUAUUAAAAAAUUAUAACUACACAAAACAUCAAUUUAAAAUUCUUUACUAGUAUUUAAUUUCUAUAAAUUUAAAUUGAGAGACAUGUUAAAAAAUUGACUUGUACUUAAUUUAUAUUAGGAGAAAAUAAAUGAUAGGAGAAAUUCAAUGAAGUUUAGAGAAAAAAAAUUGAUAUUGUGAAAAAAAAGCAAGAUUAUUAAGGUAUUUAUAGUUAACAUAUAAAUUUUUAUUCAUAAAAAUACCCUUCAAAUUUUCCGUUUUUUUACCGUUAUAAAGGAUAAAAAUCUCCUUUAAUUUAAUUUAACAAUGAAUAAAAAAAUAUCAUAAUAUGAAUUUUUUAUUUCAGAAUAUAUCUUUCAAAUUGCCCUUUUUUUAUCGUUAUAAUGGAGAAAAAUAUCUUUUUAUUUUAUUUAAAAGUCAAAAAUACAUCUUAAAUAAAUAUUGUUUAAUUUAUAUGUAAAAAAUAUAUAUUAUAAAGGGUAAAAGAUUUAAAUUAAAAAUAUUUAAAUGAGGAGCGAUUUUUUUCUCUUUUUCAAGUUAAAAUUUAUGGGUUAUAUUUAUAUUAAUAAAUUUUAAGAUGAUAGUAAAGUUAUUGCAUUUAAUGAUGAAAAUUAAAAUUAAUUUAACAAUUAAAAAUCAAGUGUGAAGUGUGAUAUUUUCUAUUUUUUAAAAUGGUUUUAAAUCAGAACCACCGGUUUUAAUUUAACAUAUAAGGAACUGCAACCAAAUCUUAAACCGCCAGUUUUGGUUACGGUUUGAAACCUUGAAUCAUUGACCACGGUUUUGUUUCGAUUUCAGUUCGGUUCCAGUUCAAAAUCGAACCGUGGUCAUGCCAGGAUCAACUCUAAACUGUCAACUAAUUUUAAUUUCAAAAUCCCAAGAAAAGAACCAUAAUUUAAAUAGACCAUCUAUCCCAACUUAGUUCAAUUCAAAAUUAAACUUUUUCAAUCUGGACUUGUCUAGUCAGAUUUUGAUCCAAACAAAACAAAUGGCAACCUCUACAAUAGGAGAAUAAUAAGUUUUUAUGUUGUAAAGAAAUAAUGACAUGAAGAAAUCUUAAUUUUAGGCAUCACUUGUGCAAUGACAUUUGAGGCAUCUAUUGCCCAGCCAUGUGAAAAAGACCAAUACAAGAAUAAAAUGUUUGGUGAAAUGAGAGAAUUCCAUUUCUGUUUUAUUAGUUGUUAGGUAACCAAAUAAUAAUUUAGAACAUCAAAUGAGUGGCACUUAGCCUUACACGCAUCCCAUUGUUGUUUGUCCAAUCAUAUUGUUCACAUGGUUCUUCACAAACUUUCUAUCUCUAACAAUGAGAUUGUACAAGUUCAAAUACGUUGUUUUUUCCCCUACUCAGAGUAGAAGUGUGUGAUAUAUCAUUUUCAUCCAUAAUGUGUUGUUAGUUUGCUAUAAAGUAAUUAGCUAGGGACCACGUGUAGUCUGGUUGAUCUUCUCACUUUUUAUGAGAAUAUGAGAAAUAAAUAAUCUCGAGUUUGGAUUUUAAUGAUAACUCACUAAUGAAGGAUGACUAUUCCUUGCCUGAUAAUAUUAUUUUAGUCUAUUAAAACUUUCCAUAAAUAAAAAGGUUAGGAUAUAAAAUUUAUCUAAUGUAAUUAUUGACUGUUUUUCUACAACAAUUUAGUUAGGUAGUAGAAGAAAAGAAACAAUAUGUUAACCAAUAACUGAAUAAGAAAUUUGUCAUUAAAAUAUAACCUAAUUUUGUGACUUUUCUUUUUGAGGAAAAAUUUUGUGACCCUUUUUUUUUUUGUUAAAAGUAAGUAAACUAGGAAUUUUAUUAAUUGGGAGAAAACUGUAUAUAGAGGUGGAUAUACAUCAAUAUGUUUUUAUAUUUUUAUAUUUUUAUAUAUGAAAUCUAAUAAUAAAUCACUUAUACAAACAAAAUAAAAACACCAUCUUGAUUUGAAAGAGCAUAAAAUAUUUGUUAUAGGCGAUCGCUUGCUUUACUUGUUGGCUAUUCAUUGUCACUAUUCGAUUCCAUAAUUUUUCAGAAAAAUAAUGUCAUACUAUUUUAGCGAGACAAAGUUGGUAGCUGUUCAUAGAUAUUACUUUUCUUUACUAUUCAUAUCUUUUGAAAAUCAUGUAUUUAGGUUUUAGAUUGAUCACGACACAAACCAAAUCAUUUCAUAUCUCAACAAAAGGAAAGCAAGCUACCCAUCUUCAUCAUUGGAUCAUAUCUCCGACAAACAAAUAAGUUUUAUUAAAAAAAAAUAAGUUUUAUAAGUUAAAAAAAGAAAUAGUUUAAUAUUUAUUAUGUUGAUAAUUUAAAAGAAUUAUAUAUUUUAUUUCAUAAUUUCAAUUCGUCCAAUUGAAUGCAUAAAUUAUGUAGUUUUCGAAAAAUAAAGCCUAAGUUAAAGUAAAUUUGUUAGGUUACCUAAUGACCUACAUAACAGUAGAGAUGCACAUUUGGUUUGACCGAACCGAAUUGAUUAAGUUCGGUGUGACCGAAUAGAUUUUAUGCUUACCAAAAUUAGACCGAAUACUAUGAAAAUCAGUCAGCAUUGAACCAAACUAGAUUGGUUUGGAUUUGAUUCAAUUAAUUUGAAUCGAAUCAUCUCUUUUGGACUUAAAAAUAAAUUCGAUUAGCUAUGCAAAUGACCGAACCAAAAAAUGAAAUUCAUUCGGUUAUUAAUAUUCAAAUCGAACAAUAACUUGAUAUCUUAAAAUCUAACCAAACCAAAUUGAAAUUAGUCUAUUCGGUUCGGUUAUUCGGCCCGGACCGAGUACUACUUACCCUUACAUAACAAGGCUAGCAAUUCCCUUGACAUACCAAAUUAAUGAAAACUGUUAUAAUUGAGAAAAAUCAAAUUUGAGACUUCUCACUCUUUACAUUAGUAAAAAAAAACCAAUAAGACUACGCCUAAUUGACAAGUAACAAUUUCUUUGUAAAGAUAUAAACAACAAAAUAACAUAUUUAUUCAUUAAUAACAUUUUAUAUAGGGAAAAUUUUCUAUUAAAUUAAAGAAAACAUUUUUUUGUUAGAAUAUUAAACAUAUUUUUUCCCAAAAAUAUUCAUUUAAUUUAUACUGGUAUGGUAUUAAAAUAAACAUUAAAUAUAUAGGGACUCAAAAAAUAUGAAAUGUGAAAAAAAUAACAUUAUAUAUAUAUAUAUAUAUAUAUAUAUAUAUAUAUAUAUUUCUAUUUAGGAACACAUGAUUUUAUUCCUAAGAUCAAGCUAUAUACACGUUCUUUCUUAUUUUACAUUCUGUUAACAUAACAAUCGUUUGUUAUAAAUGUAGUCAACCCGUACCCAUUCAAUGCUGUUGUGAAAAUAUCACUUAAUCGUUCUCCAAUCUCGACAUGUCCAAUAGAUUAAUUGGGGACUCAAAUAUCAUCGUACCAUCUUAGUAUUCAAUAAUUCAAAUUUCUCUUAUAUCCCUCUCAACCAUUAAAAUACAAAGUGUCUUUGUUCCCAAAUCUCUAUCUCUUUCUCUCACACAUAACACUCUCUCAAAACCCCAAACCAGAGCAAUAAUGUCUCGCCACAGACGGCAAGCAUCUCAAGUUCUUCCGCCGGAGUUACUGACCGGCGAUGAGUCUUUAGGAGACUUACUAGGGCAAGCAACGGCAAGAGUUCAAGGCAUUACUGCUAUAAAUGAGAAAUCCACAAAUCCUUCCAUAACUCAGCACCAUCAAGAGCAAUCCACAACUGCUACUGCUACUGGUACAGCCUCUCAUUUUCCGGCCAAGAAGCCUCCUCCAGCCGGAAAACCUGCAUGAUUCACGGAGGAAGUUGCAGGUUCAGUUCAGUCCAAGAAAUCUGGAGUAGUCUUAAUAAUUUCUGCAUCUCUGUCUCCUCUUAUCUUUGGUUGUAAUCUUGCAUCUUUCUUUUCUUUUUCUUUUUUUCCUUCUGCUUUAAUUUUGAAGAAAAAGAACUUUUCUCACUCCAGCUUGUUAUUAUUUAUUUAUUUAUUUUGCUGCCAUGAAUAUUUCUAUCCGGUAUUUAAAGGUUGACGAGAGAAUAAACCCUUUCAGGCUAACUUAUUACAUUAUUUAAUAGGAUUAAUCAAUUUUUGUUUUUCUGCUAAAAAAAAAAAGGUUUAAUCCAGAGUAACCAAGGUUAACUGUUGUGUUAGAAUAUGCAUUUUGAUUAAUUAAAAAUUGUGAAAAUUUUAAGCUGGGGCUCACUGCACACUACUUUCAGAAAAUGAAAUUAUCAGUUGUCUCUUUCUUGAUUCCAAAACAAAAAUGUGAAUAUAUAUAUAUAUAUAAUAUAAAAUUGAUAAAAAGUAUAAUUUAGAUUAUUACAACCUUUUUUUUUUUAAGAUUAUUAACAAAGCCAAAAUGGUUCUCUUCCAGUUUUUCAAAGCUAUCCCACAAGAAGAAAUACUCUCUUGAAUCCUCAAUCCUCAAUCCUCUGCCCUAGAAAAAAAAGUCUUCCCAACUUUCUUUAAUUACCUCCUUACAUGACGCAUCUCUCAACCACGUGAAUUCAAAACGAAAAGAUCUCCUUUCUCUCUCUUCUUACUCCUUUGGUCAUUCCAAACCAGACGAAUUGGGCAAUGGCCCAAAAGCAACUCGUACUAAAUGACCUACAGAAUAAUUAAAAAAAUAUAUCAAUCCAUGAAGCUGAAGAAACAUACCUGUCAAUUCGUUCUUGAAUAUUAUGGAGUCGCCUUGUCCAUUUGUCCAUGUGAAUUGAUAACCCCUUAAACUCAAGUCAGUAACUGACUAUCAUCUAGAGUUGAAUGAAACUACGGGACAGCAAACUUUGGAUAAAACCAAAAAUCGAACCGAACCAAAUUACUUUCGGUUUUUGGUUCAGUUAUUCGAUCUUUGGAUUCGAUUUCGGUUAAAAUUUUCAUAAUUUUGGUUUCGG
rnacentral:lncRNA from 1 species